CUUGAAGCAAUGGGGUUUGACCGUGCAACUGUGCUCCAAGUGUUCUUUGCGUGCAACAAGAAUGAGGAACUUGCAGCCAACUACCUUUUAGAUCAUAUGCAUGAUUUUCAGGAUUGAGUUGGUAAAGGAAAUGACUAGGGGAAGUACAAUUUCAUUCUCUUUCGUUCUUUGGGUCCAUUGUCAUUCAUGUUCCCCCUCCCGUCCCCCCAAAACUCUACCGACUUUAUUCUUAAACAAGUGAUGUAAGUGUUUGGUGUAGAGACAAGGAAUGUGAAGAUGUUAACUUCAUUUUUUUUUCUUUUUUCUUUUUAUUUCAGGACCCAUUAUUUAUAACGUUAUAUACAAGUUUCUUUCUAAGCUUGUGCGUAUUGUACUUUACAUUUUAUGCUAUUAUAAGCACUUGCGACGAGGAGCUGCACCCAACUUUCAAGUUCUUCGAUCAAUACUCUUAGAGGUCUAGACAUGGAAAAGACUUAAGGCAGUAUGACGCAGCCAAAUUUUCCAUAAGGCGAAGGUAAAAACAAUGGACUAAGGAAUCGUCGGGUGGUGAACUCACACUUUUGAAGUGACAUUUUCUUGGGCCCAUUUCCCCCAAUUACUCCGUUGAGGUCUAACUCAAAAGUGAAAAUGAACAGAAUUUCAUAAUUGCUGGACAAUAUGACAUUCCCAGGAGCAAAGGAGCAAUAGAUUCAUGUUCAACAUUGCGAAAACAACAGGAUCCACUAGGUUCAUACCUCGAAGGAUCAUAAAAUAUCGGGUUGAGAGAGGUGUCCACCCACAUUUCUAAAGGAAGAACUUUAACUAUGAAGGAAGACGAGCUUUCCAAAUCAAAUUCCAGAGAGUUAGUUGACUACCCGGGGAAAUGUCAAUAGAGGGAGUACUAAAUGCUAGGAUGAAAGAAUAAGCAUUAGCCAAGGUAAAAGUUCCAGAUUUCGUAAGCCCCCAACCAACAAAAUUUGAUCCCUAGAGUGCUUAAGAACACAUCAAUUAAAUCUUGCGGGAAUUGGACAAAUAUCGAAUAAAAACCACUACGAUCCUAGCUAUUGCAGACUUGCUCGAAAGACCAAAACUCCUCCAAUGGCAGCAGGGGGCCUUGUACAAGAUUGCGGAGAGGGCCUUGUCUUGACCACUUAUCACUAAAAAAAUUCAUUGUUCUACCAUCCUUAAUAACCCAUCUCAUCUCUAGCUCAAUGAAGUGGCGAAUCUUCUUCAAAGAGGGUGUAUUCUGUACAAGGUUUGGAUUACUAGGGUCAGUGAUGUAUUUUGAUAUAAGGAUUUUAGCCCAAAGGGUAGCCUUCUCCUGGAUUAGUAUCCAACCAAGCUUUACUAGCAAAGCUUGAUUUUUAAUUAUUGCUUUUGAUAUACCCAAACCUCCAUAGGCUUUAGGUUGUACGACCAAAUCCCACUUUAGAAGUUGUCCAUGAUUUGUAUGAUCAUAACUUUCCUAAAGAAAGUUCUUGUUGAUUCAGUCUAGCUGACUAUGAAUACUGGAGGGGAGUAAACAACACUGCAUGUAAUAGUUCUGGAUGGAGGCCAUUGUUGACUGGAUAAGAACCAACCUUCCAAGGGAUAGAAAAUUUGGCUUUCCAAUAGCUUAGCUUGUUAUGGAAUUUAUCAACAAUAAAAUCAUAGUCAUGUUUAGUGACUCUCUUCAUGUGCAUAAAGAACCCAAGAUAUUUCACUAAAGCAUUGGAUAUGCUUUUUCUAGAGUCCGCACAUUUAGGGGAAAAAGCCACUUGGGAUUUCUCAAAGUUUAUAGUUCGUCUAGAUUCUACCAUGAAUAGCUAAAUGAUCCUUUGGAUAGAGGAUACCGGUGUAGCAUAAUUUUUUUGCCAACAAAAUGAUAUCAUAUGCAAAUAAUAAGUGAGAGAACCAGGGUACACUCCUAGAGGGUCGGAUAGGAGACCAAACUUGUUGAUCCACCACUCUUGAAAUUAACAAGCUAAGGAAUUCCAUGCAUAAAAUAAAUAUAUAAGGGGAGACUGGGUCACCUUAUCGGAUUCCUCUAGAUGGUUUGAAGCUAUUCAAUUUUGAUAUGUUUAACAGCACCGAGGUGGAUGUCGUCGAAAUACAACUCAUUAUCAACUUGACCCAACUAGGGGGAAACCAAAGAAUAUAAGAACUUUAUGAAUAAAGCUCUAUUGUAGCUUAUCGUAAGAUUUUUCUAGAUCUAAUUUAAUAGUCAUAAGAUCUUUUUCCCAUUACAAUGAGAAAGGGAAUGGCAAAUUUCCUGCACUAUCAUUGUAUUAUCCGAAGAUAAGCACUUAGGGAGAAAAUUGCCUUGGACCGAGGAUGUAAUGUCAUUGAGGAUGGGUUGAAGACUCAUAACAAGGAUCUUCGUGAUAAUUUUGUAGAAAGUAUUGCAUAAGCUUAUUGGUCAGAAUUGUGAGAUCGAAGCAACUUCCCUAGAUUUGUGAGUAAGCGCGAUUGAGGUUUUGUUUAGCUCAUUGGGGAUCGUAGAGUUAUAAAACACCAUCACAUCGUUGUGAUGUGGGAAGACUCCUCGUCACGAUGUCACCACCGUGAAAAUCCUUCCCAUCUUCAUCGCAUCAUCGUGAUGAGAGAAAUCUUCUCGUCACGACGUCAAGAGUAUUUCUGGCCUUGGCAGCUUCGUUGCUCUAUCAAACUGCCUUGUCUCGUGGCCCGAUGAUCAUCCCUUGAAUUCUUGGACCUGAAUUGACAUCCUACACACUCAAUUAGCCCAUUAUUCACUUACGAGGCCAAAGUCGGUCUUAUGAGUCAUCGAAAUAAAAGAAAAUGCGUAAAAAUACUUUUUUAUUAAUAUUUAGUUUCUAACCUAGUAAUACUGAAAAUGCAAUAAUUAAUUAUAAGACGCCUAGAAAACAAGCUCGUUAAAUGUAGAAAUGACCCAAACUAAAUACUACAUUUGAAGCCAGGUCACAUACCCCCACACUUAAGUCCUUGUCUUCAAGCAAGCAAAACAAAAAUAAAAAACAAAACAAAUUGAAAAUGAAAACUAAACAUGCAAGAAAAGAAAGUGCACUUGAACUAGCUUAAUGCAGGAAAUUGGGCAGAAAUGUAUUAAAAAGAUAAUGUAAAUAAACAUAUAAUUCUAGCAUGAUACACAAUUGACUCGCAAUUUCUAAAAUUAGACAGAUUAGUUCAUUAAAUUACAAAUCAAAUAAAUAAAAGAAUAUUAAGUAUAGGUAUCCAUCAAAAUAAAUAUAUAAAUAUACAAUUAUGUUCAAAUGAAUACAAGUGGUAAAAAUAUCAAAACUUGGCACGACUGCCAUCCAUAUAGAGUACUACUUAGGUCACAUAGGACUUUUUGGCUUGUAACAUUUUGCGGCUUAAGUUGGUUUGGAAUUCAAGGAACAGACUUGACAAAAUGGCUAAGCACAAAACUAGUUUGACACAUUGUAUUGUCCCUGAUACUCCCCUAAUUUCGAAUAAUCUCACCACCUUAUAUCCACUUCCAGGGGCGAAGCUAGAAAUUUUUUUAGGGGGGGCCAAAAUGAAAUUUUAAUUUUUAAUAGUCUAUAUUUUUAUAAUUUUCAAAGGAUUAAAUCAAAUUUUUAUAAUUUUAAAGGGCCAAAGUGAAAUUUUACCUUUACUAAAUUAAAAUUUUAAAAAUUUCUAAAGGACCUAAAUAGUAAUUUUCUAUUUUAGAAGGGUCGGGGCACCUGCCAGCCCCCUAGAUUCGCUUUUUUCAACUUCUCUCACCUUCCUUUUCUCUUCAUCAUUAAUGCCCCGUAUAGUAUUCAUGAGUACAAUCAUUCAAGCUUGAAAUAAAUUUUUUUUCUUUUCAUCGAGAUUUUUUGGAUUGGCAUUUUUCCUUAUUUUGUACAAGCUCAAAAUCUUAUACUCACUAUACCAUACAGUUCCUUAGUCACUCAAUUUUUUUUCUCUUUUCUUUUGAAACCACCAUGAUGCAUCUCAAUAUCAAUGGUCGGACAUCAAAAUCUGUGCAAGGACUAAAAAAUAAAUGAUCAAAUAGAUUAUAUAUUAGGCUUAAGGUUUCAUUUAGGGUUCACCAAGAAAAUGGAUUCAAGCACAAAUUAGGUACUAGGGAAAAUAUAUAUAGGGUUAGCUUUUUGGCUAAAAAAAUUGCCUACCAAAUAAUGCCUUAGGUCGUCCCUAGGUAUUUCAAUGCAUGGAUUAAAUCGGCUAAGUCUCUUGAACGCUUAUAAAUGUGUUAUUUUUUAUAGUAUAAAUAUUGCACCAAAAAUAUAUAAAAUUAAUUUGCGGUGUCUGCAAGCGUACAAGUCAGAUUGUAAUAUAGUAAAAUUUACAACAAAACAUUGGUAAGUAUUCUAAGGAUCAUACCCAAGGGAGGAUGAAAUAAAUCUAUAAAAACCUUUUUAGAAUAAUAAAUUUAAAUAGUAAUAAUUAAUUCCUGUAUUAUGAUAAGCCAUAAAAUAGAUUAAUAAGAGAAUUUAAAUAACUAAAACAAAUAAACAAGAAAAAUAACAAAUGCAUUAAAUUAGUAAAACCAAUUAGGAAUAUUAACUCGUUUCAGGGUUUGUAUUUAACUUUGGAUUAGGGUUUUAGGGUAGAUUAGCUACCAAUUAACCAAUUAUUACCUCCCGUCCUCUACUAAUUAAUCAAUUGGUUGAUACUUGCUUAUCUCCCGAUCUCACUUUCUCAACCAAGAUAAACUAAAAUUUACUUGAUUCGACUUAUCUCCCGAUCUCGUCUCACCUAUGAUAACUUCCUAGGGUUGUCAAGCCUAAGGUUUAAGAACACGUAACCUAUACCAACUAAUCCUCUCAGGAAACCCUAAAUUCUUCGUUAAUCACAUCCAUAUCCACUCGUUAAAAAACCCUUAAGGGAUUUAGCCACUCAUGUUAUUCAUAAUAUCUAACUCAAUCGAAUAAAUCAUGUAAAUAACAUGAUUGAAUCAGAAGAGAAAUGAGAUUAGAAUAAUCGUGGAUUGAUAUCGAAUAGAGAACAGUGUAGGAAAUUAUUAAUCGUAAUAAUAAAAUAUAUCGAUUGCAAUGAAGAAAUAAACUGAAUACUUUAAUAAAAUAAAAUAACUCUUGGAUCGAAACAAAUUCCAAGAGGAAAAACAAAUAGUUUAUGAAAAGCCAAAAUAAAAUUAAUCUAAUCCUACUCUUAAGUGCGAAAAUAACACGAAUUAACUACCACAUUUGAUGGCAGGUCAAAUACCCCUACAUUUAAGUCUUUUCUUGUUCUCAAGCAAACAAAACAAAACAAAAUAAAUACUAAAUAUGAACUAAACUGAAAACAAGAAAUAAAUAUGCAAGGAAAAGAAAAUGUACUCGAGCUAGCUUAAUAAAGUAAAUUGGAUAGAAACAUAUUAACAAGAUAAUGUAAAUAAACAUAUAAUUCUAGAGUGAUAUAAAAUUGACUUGCAAUUUCUAAAGUUAGACGGAUUAGUUCAAUAAAUUACAAGGCAAACAAGUAAAAUAAUGUUAAGUGUGGGUUUUCAUCAAAACAUAUAUACAAAUAUACAUGUAUGCUCAAAUGAGUAUAAGUGGUAAAAACAUCAAAACUUAGAACAAUUUCAUCCAUAUAAAUUACUACCUAAGUCACAUAGGACUUUUCGUCUUGUAGCAUUUUGUGAUUUAGGUUGGUUUGGAAUUCAAAGAAUAGGCUCAAUCAAACAAUUAAGCACGAAAGUAGUUUGUCACAUGAUAUUGUCCUCGAUACUCCCCCGAGUAUACAUAUGCUCACCACCUUAUAUCCACUUCCCUCACCUUCCUUAUUUCUCAAUUUACUAAGGCCUUGUAUAGUAUUUAUGAAUACAAUCAUUUGAGCUCAUAAAAAAAUUAUUAUCUUUUUAUUUCUUUUUUGAACAAAAGUGAGCGUACUUUUUUUCCAGCUCACAUUGUUUUUAUUUUUCAUCGAGAUUUUCUCGAUUGACUUUUUGUCUUAUUUUAUACAAGUUCAAAAUCUUGUACUCAUUAUACCAUACAAUUCCUUAGUCACUCAAAUUUUUCCGUUUCCUUUGAAACCACUGAGAUUUAUCUACCUAAUCCCUCAAUAUCGAUGGUUGGACGUCUAAAUUCGUGCAAGAACUAAGAAAUAAAAGAUCAAGUAAAUUAUCUAUUAGGCUUAGGGUUUCAUUUUUGGCUCAUCAAGAAAAUGGAUUAAGGCUCAAAGUAGGUACUAGGGAAAAUAUUUAUGGGAUAUCUUUUAGGCUAAAAAAUUUCUACCAAACAAUGCCUUAGGUCCUCCCUAGGUAAUUAUAUACAUGGAUAAAAUAGGCCAAGUCUCUCAAUUUCUAAAACUUAUAAUUCAAUUAAAUAUACAUGCUAUUUAUAUACCUGUUUAUCAUGUGGUAUUGUAACACUUUCCACCCGACCCGAAUCACCGAGUCUGAAUAUAGUGGGGUCCACAUGACAAUCCUACUGUGGGGUAGUUAAAUUAUCAUAUCAUGAAAAGAACCACUGAUAGAGGUCGUAGGUCUUGUUUAGGGACCUUCUCCUACUCAAUUUUUUAAAAACAUGCAAGGUUUUUAAUGUUCAAUUUCAAUCAUGAAUGAAUAAUAUAUGCAUGUCAAGUACAUGUGACAUUCUUCCCUAAACUAUAUGACAUGCUUAUCAUACAUAUGCAUGAACAUACAUUCACAGUCAUAUCAAUAUCAUCAUGAUUAUCACAUAUAUAAAAGCAUAAAAAUUUAAAAGACUCUAACUAGCCAAAGUUUCCAUGAUUCCAUCCUAGAAAAAAUAAAAAAAAUUCACCUCAAAGCAUACUUUGGGUCUUCUAUUUUGUCACCAUGGACUUAUGGUACAGUACCAGUUCACGUUUUCAUUGUCAUUGUCUUUUUGCAGCCAUUUUUGUAUCACUGUCGCUGAACCGCCAUUACCGACCAUAGUUGGGUUAUCUCAAGUCACCGUCGAAUCGCCUCUAGCCACCGUCAUCAGCCUCCAUCGCUAACCCUUGUCGUCGAUCAUCACCAUUAGACCACCAGUAGUCGAUUGUUGCCAGACCACUAUUGGUCUCAUGCUAGUUUGGUUGGGUCAGGUUUGCAUCAUCUUGAUGGCCUAGAUACGUCUCAGUUCUCCUAGUUCCGUUGAAAAAUUUAGGUAACAAAAUUCCUAUGUCCGUUUCCAGCUCAAAUAUUUUAUUCUAAAAUAAUAAAAUUAAACCAUGCGUGAAGAUGAUAGUCCACGAUCAAAAAUAUACAUGCCCGAUAAAUCAAUAAAUUUAAUUUAAUUUUCUAGGAAUCACAACUUUGGCAAAUUUAUUUUAUCAUACAUAAUAAUAAAAUAAUAUCAUGAAUUCAUUCCUUUAGACAUGCAUACAAUUACAAGAAUGACACAUCUUAUCAAAAUAAAACUAUAAACAUAAUACAACCCGACACUCUGAUACCAAUUUUUGGAAAAAUAAAUCCUAUUCGAAAACGAUUUUCUUGCAUAGUGAAAAAAUUUGAAAAUCGUGCCGAUUUGUGAUAUUUAUAGCAAUAAACCCUUUACCAAAAUCGCACUUGUGUUUUUAGCUAGAUGAAUCCUUCUCAUUCUUGGCUUUUAAUUGAAUGACCUUCUUCGUUAUUCUCAUACCACAAACUGCUUUGAGUGUGGGCUUGAACAAUUUGAAUCAAACACAAAACCAAAAAUAGUUUCCUUAACUUUUAGUGUGAAAAUGAAAAUCUCUUCUCAAUAGAAAUUGGAAAAAAUUUUAUUUUAGAAAAUAGAUUUAAUAUUUGAGAAUUAACUCUCACUAUUUCCGGGCAAAGUAACAAUAUCUUUGAGUUUUAUUUUUAACCCUAUCGAUGCCAUCUAUUUAUAGGGAAAAGAAGUUAAACCUUUGUUGAAUUAUAGAAGUGUAUUUCCAGUAGAAAAAUGAAGUCCUAUUAUAACUAGAAUUAUAGGGGAUGACAACCCUAGUUAAUAAUACUAGGGAUUGUUGUCCUUCCCUUUAACAUGCGGGGCUUUUGGGCCUCUCUCAUAACAAGUUAAAUUACAAGUACUUCCUGAACUUUUAACCUACUACUUUAUAAUUCGAUCCAACCCGAUAUUUGUUUUUUUUAUUUCCCAAAAUAAAUAUAUCAAUUUAUUUCCAAUUAAAUAAUCUUCUAAACCCAAUUCUAAUUCUGUUAAAAUCACGACUUUACCGUAAAAGAAACUAUGAGAAAAUAUAUUUAAUAUUUCUACAUUUAAUGGGUUCACUAUGACCAAAUUAUUUAUUUCCAUUUUCAAACUUCAUUUAAUUCAAAAACCAUAAAUUCAUUUUCAGGUCAUUAUAUUUUGGAGAAAAUCACAUUCAUUUCCAAAUGUUUCUCAUUUCUCCAUUUUCACCAUUUCUAUUCAUUUAAUUCAACAUGCAAUUUAUUUAUGGUUUCAACAAUAUAGUGGAAAUAUUGAUUGGACACAUACGAUUAGGGCUCAAAUAAUUUAUAAUUAAGUCCCCCCUUUUCGCCUAUUAAUUAUAAAGUCAUUUAGUCACAAAGUCAUUUCACUAUAGUAUCGUGAUUGAGCUCUUUCCAACGGCAUACCAUUAUGAAAGCAACUACUCAGUGCUCGUCUAAUGACCUUGUCAUAAGUGUGUUACCCUUAUAAGAUAUCAUUAAUCUCUUUGGGAUAAUAUAUGUUCUCCCAAUAUGAUCGUAUUUUAUUUCAUGGUAAUCAUUACAUCUUCUUUCAUGAAAGGUCAAUCAUUAUCAAAUAGUGAUCAAAUCAUCCAUCACAAAGACGGAUGAACCUUGGCCACGUUUAAUUUUCAUCAACUAUGUAAUGCCAAUGAGAGGGUAUCAUUUACCCAUGUUUUGGGCUAUGAAUUCCACAUUUGUGAAUCACUCUACAUACUACAGAAGUCGUACACCCAACACACCAGCUUUCAGUUCCUUAUAUAUUUGAACUCAAACUUUUACUUACAUCAAAGUAUACGAGUCAUACAUACAUAACCCGUCAUUCACUUAGGAUUUAGGUAUGCCACACUGUAAACAUCACAACUAAAUAAAUACAUAAACGAAUUCAGGAUGUAUUCUUCUUCGGUCCAGUCCAAUGUACUAUCAUUCCAGUUAGUCACAUCUAUGUCUCUAUCUUUUGGGAGUCAUCCACUUUGAUGCCCAAGACAAAACAUCUCCCCAAUUGGACUUGAUAGAUGGUAUAUUAGUCUUUUAAUCGGUUUUGCUCAUUUCUAAUUAGACUAAGGACAUGUUUAGGUUCAUCUACUAAUAUAAGUUUUCUUUUCGUAUUACAAUACCACCACAUAAUACCGCUUAGUAUUAGUUUAAACAUUAGACAACUAGUGAGCCAAUAUUUGCUUCUAUUUUAAUUUGCAUGCAGAAACCACAUAAGGAAAAUUAUACAAAAUAAUAUUAAUGUAAUUCAUAAUUUUUUGUUAAUCAAUCUGUUUGAAAAAAAUACAAGUUUACAAACGAAUAUACUACACCCGUGGCAUGAGAUCCAACACUUCCUUCUUUUUCGUGUAACUAGGAAUGUUGAAUUUUUUCGACCUUAAAUCCAUACCUCUAAUCCUAAACUUCCCUGGCACCUUGUCUUCUCUUUUUCUUUUUGGGAAUUAUUGCUUCUUAGGAAUGCUGUCACCUUUAAUUGCAAUGCUAGGUAUGGUAGAAUUAGGGAGCGAGCUUUGGUUGGGGCAUGUGAAUUCUUUAUUGUAUCACUAGCUUUGAAGGUAAAUACCCACCCUUUUCAAUGAUGGUUAAUUGGAAGUCGCCUCGUCAAAGAUGGAAAAAGCACAAUACCAAUGCAUCAUCACUUGGCAAUCCCAGUAAAAUAGUGGCGGGGACAAUUAUCUGAGAUCAUGUUGGUGGUUUGGUUAUAAGAAGUUAUCGAUAUAUCCCCAAAGCUAACAUCAUCAAGGCUGAGUUGCAUGUGUUGUGAGAUGGCCUUAAACUUGUUGUUGAUUUGAAAAUCUCGCAUUUAGAAAUAGAAGUCGAUUGUACUGUUGUUGUUUCUUUUAUUUCUAGUAUGCUUAUUACUAAUCCUUUUGAUAUGUUGAUUAAUGAUUAUAGUUUGCUCUGUGCUUCUAUCCCGAAUACUAGAAUCAAACAUAUUUUCAAAGAAGGAAAUUAGAGUGUUGAUGCCGUAACACCUUAUACCCGACCUGAUCGCUAGGUUCGGGUACUAAGUGUCACAAUCAACCCAAUAUACUUAACAAUAAUUCUAUAUUGAUUUACUUUCAACUUUUACAUUCUAAGAUAGGUUUCUUAUAUAUACAUAACUUCACUCCAAUCUUGUAACAUCCCGAUUUAGAGCUUAGUCGGAACAGUGGUUUCGGGACCACAAAUUUGAUGAGGAAAAAAUUAUUUUUACUAUAUUUUUAUGGCCUACAAUUUCACGGAAAGAUUUCUUGAAAAUUUCGUUCAAAAAUUUUGACGUUUGGGCACUCAAUUUAGUCAAAAGGACUAAAUUGUAAAAAGUGUGAAAGUUGAGUUUUAUAUGUUAAAGGUAUUUAAUUGUUAUGGAACUAUAAAUUAGGGGUCCUUAUAUGGUAAUUAUACCAUUAGUUAGUGAUGGAAAAAAAUGGACAUGAGAUAAGUGAAAUAGGAUUUUUUUUAAGUAAGGGCAUUUUAGUCAUUUAGUAAAUAAAUAGAAUUAAAAGGGAAAAAGAUGUAAAAAUUGUAUUCAUCAUCUUUACUUGCUGCUGAAAUUUGAAAGAAGCCAUAGCUAGGGUUUCUUCACUUUCUCAAGCUCAUAGUAAGUGAUUUCAAGUCCCUUUUUAAUGUUCUUUAUGUUUUUGGAAUCCCGGUAGCUUAAUUUAGCUUAUUUUAGCAAUAAUUUAACCUAGGGUUCAUAUUUGGAAAAAUACCCAUAGGUGAAAUAUGUUUAUUUUGAUGUUUUAUGGUAGAAUAUGAAGUUAGGAAUUAUGUUAAACAACUUUUUCUAGUCGAUUUUAAGUGAAAACGAGUAUAUUGACAUAAUCGGCAAAAAUACCUAAUGUUCAUAAGUAAGUGUUAGAGUAAGAAUUUGAUGUUGUCAUAGAAGGAAAAAAUUUUCAGCAUGUUAUAAAACAUAAUAAUAAGAUAUGAAGUUUAAUUUAUGAGCUUUGGGGCAAAAGUGUAAAUAUGCAAAAGUUUAGGGGCAAAACUGUAAUUUUGCAAAAAUUGAGUCAAGGACUGUUUUGAUGAAUGUGAGUAUUAAAUACGCCAAAUUUGCUAUUAUAGAUCAAGAAGAACGAAUCCGGAGCUAGAUCGGGGAAAGAAAAAGAUUGAGGACUAAAGUGUUAGAUUUGAUCACAUUUUUGAAUUCGAGGUAAAUUUACGGUAAAUAAAUGCAAUAUUUCAAUAAUUAUUAUUAAUACUGCUAUUUUCCAACAAUUAUGUACUUAUUUUAUGAAAUUAUUUAAUGUUGACUUAAGAAUGAGAUGACAGAGAAUCAGUGAUAAAAGCCCCGUUGAAACAUAAGGAAUGUAUCGGAUACAAAUGUCAUGACAUUUGGAUAAAGAGAUCUCAUGUAAUACCAUGUCUGGGACAUGGCAUUGCCAUCAUUGAGAUUAUGUGAGGUCCCAUGUAAGACCAUGUCUGGGACAUGGCGUUGGCACCGAGAUGAGAGGUCCCUCGUAAGACCAUGUCUGGGACAUGGCAUGGGCACCAAUAUGAGAACUCCCAUCUAAGACCAUAUCUGGGAUAUGACAUUGGCAGUACUGGAAACAUCUCAUGUAAGACCAUGUCUGGGAUAUGGCUUUGGCAUGUUAUUAUCAAAUAUCAGACCCAAGUAUCCUUAUUAUUCCAAUGUGGCUCAACGGGCUAGAAAACAAAUUAUGUUCUAUGUAAGUUCAAGUAAAAGUAUAAUUAGCAGCUUCAGGUGAGUUAUAAGAGUUAAGAAUAUAUUAUGUUAUCAGUGAGAACCAAUAUUUCAGCAAGAGAAGAGUAAGUUGUAAUCUAAAGCUAUCUAAGCAGGUAAGUAAGUAAACAAGUAAAUGAGAUUAAGUAAAGAGAAAGCUUAAGAACAUGAUACUUGCAUAUCAUUAUUUAUGUUAAAUGCUGUUAUUUAUUUACUUGUAAACUUACUAAGCUUUAUGCAUACUUCUUUUAUUUCUUUUUUCUUUCAUAUAGUAUUAUCAAGCGUAGUCGGGAUCUUGAAGACGUCGGAGAGCGUUCACACUAUCAACCACCACAACUCGGUAUUUUAAGACGAUAAAUGUUUCGAGCUAUGGCAUGUAUAGGGACUUGGUCAUUUCGAUUUUAUAUUCUUAAGAUAUGACCAAAAGAUGAUAUGUAAAUAUUUGAUGAUGAAUAGUUAUUAAAAUGACUAAGUAUGAACGUGUUUGUUGUUAUAAAUGUCUAGGUGAUAAAUUAUGCAUAGAAAUCAUGAAAAAGUAAAAAAAAAUGUUAGCGAAUCAGUUUUGAGACAACAGUAGUGACGUGAUUUUGAAAAAUCACCAAGAAUAGUAGAAAAUGAAUUAGAGGGUGGAUGAGAUAUAGAAUUAAAGCUUAUUGAGUCUAUUUUAUAUAAAAAUAACACUGUAGACAAAGGAAUUAUGUAUUAUGAGAUAUUUGCAUUUUAGUUAGACAAGGUCAAAGUGGUUUUCGGAAUCUCCUGUUCUGACUUUAGAAAAUCAUUAAAACUUGUACAAAAAUAGUUAUGAAUUGUAAUUUAUAUGUCUAGAUUUAUUAUUGAGUGUAUCUUCUGUAGGAACAAGUGGGAACACCAUAUGAAGUCUGUAAAAUGAGAUAAUUAAAUUUUAGUGAUGAGAGGUCAGGACAGUCGAUCAGUGAAGUAGGGGAGACUUUAACUAAUAAAAUAUACUAAUUGGAUAAAACCAAAAAUUCUGAAAAAUUUAUGGUAAAUAUAUAUAUGAUUCUAGUUUUAGGGAAAAUUUAUAGAUCUAAAUUUCAGGUUUCGUAGCUCGAGUUAUAAUUGAUUUAGUAACUACUGCGCAAGUGGACAACUUUGUUGUGAAUAGUGAAAUUAAUUUCAAAAGUAAAAUUUUAUUCCCCGAACUUUUAAGUUAAGUCAAGUAACGCCUCAUGCUCGACUCCGGCAACCGUCUCGGGUAAGGGGUGUUACAAAUAUAUUUAGUUAACAUGUUAAAAAAUAUCACUACAGAUAAAAUUUCUACUAUUUCUAAAGUUCUUAGUAUCAAAUUACCUUAUUGAGCAGGUUUAAGUUUAUAAGUGUACAACAACUUGGGAAUUAAAACUUCUAUAAAAGCCUUCUAUAAAAGCCUUCUUAUUCGAACCCCGAGGCAUAGCCUCUAAGGGUGCCUCUUUAAAUGCAUGUACAACUAUGGCACCAUUUGCGUAACUUCACAACGUUUGGCAUAGUCCCUUCCUAACCCUUGAAUCAUUCUUUAAUCCUGCAUACAAAACAGUAAAAUCAUAAGUUUUGAUGAACUUAGUGAGAUUCUAUACAUCAGAAAUUAAAGGCUCUCAAAUUUUGGGUAAAUAAGAAUAAGAGUAUAGAAUUUAAAACUCCUUAGCAAAACUUAGGAAUUUUGUAGUAACACUAGAGUAGCUAAUGCUCAUGUCUUCUUUGAACCAAUCAUUGGCGGAUAUAACUGCUGAUCUGAUCAUAGGUGCACUCUUUCAAACAACCCAUUUCUGGGGCCCAACCUUGUCUAGCUCCAUCUUAGGCUCCCAUUUUACCUUUCUGGCUCGACUAAUCAAGGUUCCAUAUACACGAAUAUGCGAUUUGACAACUACUUUUGGUGGACUAUCAGGUAUCUCACCAUAACUGUGGAUCCUUACCCUAAUCUCUUCGUUCCACCCUGAACUCAAAAUAGGCUUACUACAUUACCCCGAUAAUUUUCUUUUUAUGACUUAUCCUGUGCUUAAACCCUUAUUCUAAGGAAGACCCAUAUACUGAGAAUCUCAUUUGCUAUCUUGAAUUUGAGAUUUGGCUGAUACAUGAUCACCUUGUUCUUUGCAGACUUGUACUCGUCAAUAAUCUCGGAAGACUUUCCUAUUUCAGAUCGUUCUAUUAAAAUACUCCCAGUAACAGAUAGUUCCCUACGAAGUAUUUCUUUCUUAGAUUUCCCUUGGCAGGCUUUCACAUUUGAUAGUCCUAAGAGGACUUCCCUGCUCUAUACAGUCAUGAUAGACUUUCGUUUCUUCUAUUAUUUCCCGAUGGACUUUCUACUUCAGAUUGUCCUUGGUGUUUUUCUUUCUUAAGAAAGUCCUCGAUGGACUUCCCUCUUAUUCUAGCAACCUCUUUACCCAUGAAUACUUAGGAUUAAUAUUUGCAGAAUCAUCUCACUUUAUUACAACAAAAAACUUGUUUACUUAUCGAACUUUGGUGGACCUUUAUGGUGGAUACCUAUUUGCCAAUACUUUGAAGGAAUUCCUCUUUCCUCUCACAUAUACCCUUGUUAAGACAUUUUUACCAGUUCUACUUACCUUCGCAUUUUUGAGGAUUCUCUUAUUAUCAUGUUUGCCCGUGUUCGCAAAUGCACGAUGCUCAUUUUGUUAGACUUCUUGUCGCGCGAAUCAUACAGUGAUUUCCCUUUUUUUGUGCCUUGACAGGUUUCCUACUUACUAUCCUGGGAGACUCCAUUUCACCAUAAAGUCUACCUGUUCACCACUAGAUUAUGUCAUGGCUAACCAUGGACUUUUGAUUUUGAAAAAUUAGUAAACCCCUUUCAAAAUGUCGUCUCAUAGGGCCUGUAUGUCAUUUACACAGUGUCGCCUUGAAGGACCUAUAUAUUGUAGUCAUGGUGUCACCCUAAAGGACCAUUAGAUAAUCGUCAUCACAGUGUCGCCCCAAAGGACUAGUAGAUAAUUGUUAUCACAGUGUCGCCCCAAAGGACAAGUAGAUAACUGUCGUCACAGUGUCGCCCUGAAGGACCAGUACAUAUCUGUUCCACGAUGCCACUAAACUCCCUUGUAUCCCAUAACAAUUCAUCAAUUCCUUCAUUACGCUAAUUUUUCCUAUCUUCAUCCAACCGUCAUAAUAACUCCUUCCAUACUUCUCAUUUUAAAAACAUGUUUUUUUCACUUAUUACUAUAACAUAUAACAUGCCAUAUUUCAAUACAUCAAUAUUGGUCUGCUGCAAUUUGUUAAAGCAGAUUAAACCAUUUUUCGUACUUAAAGAGCUUGAAUAAAAGCAAUUUCAUCAUGUUUUACUUAGCUUUUCACUUUUAGUUAUGAAAUAAUAAAGAGUGUGAUUUGAGUCAUUUAUAUGACUUUAGGGCCAAAAUAGGUUAAAAGAAGACUAACGUGUUUGGUGAGUGUGCAAGACAUCAUUCAGAUGUAUGGAAACACAAGACUAGUCACCAUGUUCCAACAUAGAGGUUCGACGUCGCAACAUAGUGAGAAGUAUAACCAAAAUAACAAGACUGCCUUUAGUGUCGUGACACAACCUUGAAUUUAAGCCUGAGCCAAGUAAACUACAACCAAUGUUACGACAUAGGGCAGAUGAUGUCGUGCCACCGGCCUGAUGUGAAGAAUUAAUGAGUUGAUGGUGUUUUGGUCUACACAAUGAACUUUAACAUAAAAACGUCAGUCAAACUAGGGCUAUGAACGAUAGCCAACCUUAAAUUUGUAAAUAGGUUUCACUAAACACUUCUUAGACAACUUUUCUAUAUGUUUAAACUUUUAUUCUAGUUUAGGUUACAAAUUUUAUUUACUUUUCAAUUUUUACUCCUUUGUAAUUAGGAUUUCUUUUCAAUUUUAUUUUCACUUUUGUUUGACGGAGAAUCUGGUUGGUAGAUUCAUCAAACUCUUAUUAAAAAAAAUGUUACUUUCCAACCUCCUUAUAUGCAAAUACGCUAGUAGAGGGCCAAACCAAGUGACCAUACUGUAUGUGGUCAAAGACUGGAUUGAAUUGAGGGAGAGAUACAGUCAAUGCAAACUGAAGUGAAUCAGGUGCAAUUUAAGUGCACCUAAAUGAUAAAAACAUUGACAAGACUAGAAGAUCAGAUGAGCCAAUUGAUAAGCAUGAUGGGGAAUAACAAAAGGAAAAUUGACACCGGGAUCCCAAGUAGUAUUGAGAAUAAUCCUCAGAGAGAAAGGAAGGAGCACAUUAAAGCAAUUGUGCUCUAUUUGGGCAAAGUACUCAGUAGCCCAAAGAACCCAACUCAAGAGGAGUGCAAGAAAGAUGUCGAUGAUUUUUGAGAAGAAGCUCCUUGAAAUGAUGAUGCUGAACUAGAACCAAAAAAGGUAGUCGAGCCGACAACUAAGUCGGUAGCUGAGCCAAAUAGAGAACCCGCACCAACCAAGGUACCAUUCCCUUCACAGUUAGAGGAUAAGUGGAAACAGGAUCAAGCGAAAUUUGUAAUUUUUCUAAAAUUAUUCAAGUCGUUUAAUGUUAACUUACCUCUAAUGGAAGUAAUUGAAAAUUUUCCUAAAUACUCCAAGUACUUAAAAGAAUUUAUGGCUAGGCGUAUGAAAAUUAAAACGGAGAGCAAGCUAAUAUAAAUGCAUCAUGUAGUGUGAUGAUUUCUAAAUAGAUACCCCAAAAACUGAAAGAUCCAGGGAGUUUUGCAAUUUCUAUAGAGAUAGGGGAUAUUCACUUUAAUAAGGCUCUAUGUGAUUUAAGAGCCAAUAUAAAUUUGAUGCCCUUAUCGAUAUACAAGAAACUGAGGUUAGCGGAACUUAAAAACACACAUAUCACACUACAAUUAACUUCUAGGUCUUCGGUAAAAUGAAAAGGAGUACUUGAAGAUAUGUUGGUUAAGGUGUGUAGCUUUAUAAUCCUGGUCGAUUUUAUAAUUAUGGACUUUAAGGAAGACCAUGAGAUACCUAUUAUGUUAGGUAGACCAUUUUUAGCCAUGACAAGGUCUGCCAUUAAUCUAGAAAAUAAUGAGUUAAUCAUGAAAAUCAAUGGCGAGAUUGAAGUAUUCAAAUGCGGUCACCAGUAGAAUGAGGGAAGUAGGGAAAAGUUAGGGAAAACAUGUUUUGAAAUAUUUGUAAACAUCCCUAAUUACCUUGAUUUGGAAAAGGUAUUUUUUUGUGAUAAGUGCAGGUCAAAAGAGAUUCAAGGAGCGGACCAAGGUGGAGUGGCAUGAUGGAUUUUGGACCAACACAGAUAGAAGAUCGAUUAAAGGGACAUCUAAGAAUACACUGACUAAGCUAACGGACGAAUCCGACAACAAUACUUGAUAUUUUUAAAUUGAGUUAAUUUUUUUGUGUAUUAUUGCAUUUUAAUAGACUUAUGGGUAGUUUAAGAAUUAAUUUUAUUUAACCUAUCUAAAAAUAUGUUUUGAACAUUUUGAAACUCGAGAAGAAGGGCCAAAACAGAGCCGAUGUUGCAAUACGAACCUGACUGCCUCCGGACGUACCAACAUCCAGAGUUUGAAUACUAGAACUAAAAUAUAUGGAAUUAAGGUAGUGUCCGCAAGUAUACGGGUCAGGUUGUAAUAUAAAUACAACGAAGAAGGUAACUUCUCCGAGGAUUGUACCCAAUGGAGGCGAGUACUAAAUUAAUGUCAACCUAAAUACAAAUAGAAGUAAUUAGUGGUUUAAAUAAAUUAUAGUAUGAUAAAACAUAAAAGAAUUUUUUUUGGGAUUUUAUAAAGAAUGAAAUAAAAAUAACAAAAGGAAAGUGAGCUUUAGAAAUAUAAAUUCUAACUUAAUCAAAUCUAAGUAUGGGUGAUUAGUUCACUUUGGUGAUCAUAACUAAUUCCUAUUUCAGGUUUCUACUUAAUCAACUAGUUGCUACCCUAGAAGGAUCUCUCGAUCUUCCACUAGACUAACGAGUUGGAAAGAACUAAUUAUCUCUCGACUUUACAGUUCAAAUCGAUUUGGGGUAAAGGUGUUCACGGAUAGGCCAUACCAAUUUUGGGUUAAUUCCCACCUAAAUUACUUCCUAGGGUCUCCAAGCCUAAAGUUUAAGUUCUUCCUCUCCCUAACAGCUGAUCCACUAUGAAAACCCUACAUAGCAAUUAAUGAAUCACACCUCCACCCACUAAUCCCCCAUAAAAGGAUUAGUUCCUUGUGGAUCUCAUGUACACAGUAAUCUUGAUAAUAAAGAUAAGCAUGAAUAAUGAAUCAAGAUAAAUUUUUAAGAGAACCCUGAAUUGUAUUGAUUGAAGUAUAGAAUCUAUAGCAGUUUGAUCACAGUUACAAGUCACGUUCUCUGACGAACACGGAAUAGAAUAGAACUGAAAUAAACCUAACACCUAAAAUAAAGGAAAAAAUAAAGACUAAAUUUACAAGGAAAGUAAAAGUUGUCUAAAAUAAGUGUUUUAAGAGCCUAUUUAUAGAGUUAGGGUUGCCGUCGUCCUCAACCUUAGGUCAGCUGACGUUCUUGUGUUUUAAUUUCCAUUGUGCAGACCAAAAUGCCUCUGAUGUCGUGACACCCUAGUUCUUGUGUCGGGACAUCAAAGGUAGUAUGCAUGGUUCAAGGCUAACUUCAGUAGUGUGUCGUGACAUCUCUUGGCUAUGUUGCGACAUCCAAGGUAGUAUAGUUGUUCUAGUAUUCUGCUCCCUAUGUUGCGACAUCGAAUCCCCGUGUUGCAACAUAGCGACUAGCUUUGAGUUUCUAUGCAUUUGAAUGAUCUCUUGCACACUUAGUAAGUACGUUAGCUCACAUUUAGGCCUCAGUCGGCCCCUCAGGUAAAUAAAAGACUCAAAAUGCAGUUUUUAUUGAUUUAACUAAACUAAGAAAACACAUGUAAAACAUACUAAAAUUUCUCAUCUUCAAGCUCCUCAAGUGUGAAAACUAGUUUAAUAUUCUACACCGAAUUACAAUAGAUCAAACUUUCCUACACUUAAGUCAUUGCUUGUCUUCAAGCAAAGCAAGACAUAAAUAAAAACAUAAAAGAAUACCCUUGAAAAAGUAUAGUACAAAGAUUGGUUUUGGAGUACAUAACUAGGCAUUUUCAUGUUUACACAUAAUCCUGAAAUGAUAUAUAAACAACUUACUGAUAACUCUUGAAAAAAGUUAUAUCUCAUGCUUUUAGACCUAGCUAAUUGCUUGUACUUAAGUACAUUUUGUUGCAUUUUAGAACAUUUUAGUUAGCAUUUUUAAAUAUUGCAUUAGGACUUGGAUUGUGUUGGAAUUAGGUGCUUUUAAUCGCUUGUAGUGGAGUUUUUUUUAACUAGUAGGAACAUGUUUUUGAACGAGAACAUAAAGGAGUGAAGUUUUUUCAAGGCAAAGUACAGACAGUUUGCCAGCGCGGAUGCCGUUACAAUGCCAGGAAGACCAAGUCAACAUUUUUCGUACUGCAGUCUCGGUUCAAAUUCAAACUUGUACCAAAUAAAUCCCCCUAAAAUAGGAGAAGAUAAUCAUAAGUUGUUAGCCAACCCUAGCCUAAUCUAUCUAUAAAUACCGAUGAAGGGGACCUCACAAAUGACAAAAAAAGGAGAGAGAGAUCCUUAGGCAUAAAUAAGGGUAUGACUGCGCAAAGGAAAGGAAGUUGAAGGUAGUCCUUCUUAGCCAUCAUAGGAUGCUUUGCUGCCAAAGUGUGGAUUGGGCAUGCAAAAGUUAUUUCUUGAAGUUCUUCCGUUAUUUCCAUUAGUGUUCCUUUGAAAUAGUGAAUUAAAGUAGUGGAACGCAAUGUCGGAUAAUGUUUUCGUUUGGAAUUUUAUUUCCCAGCCCAUGAGUUAAAUCCCAUAGGGUUGGGAUUACUUUCGAUGAAACUUUAAUUGUUUAUGGUGCAAUAUAUAUUUGAUUUAUUUUUCUGUUUCAUUUGAUUGUUUUUAUUUCGUAAUUUAAAUGCAACGAUCUCUAGACAUAGAAGGCUAUCGACAUACUAUAAACUGAUUCUAAUUCUAGAAAGGCUGGAAUGGUUGGAUAAAAAUUAAAUGAAAUGAGCAAGUAUUCGAUAGACACUUGUAGUUGACUCUAGACAUAGAGUCACAAUCAUAAAAUAGGAACCCAUGCAAGAUAUCUAAAAAGCCUAUAGACACAGGCAAGGUAACUUGAGGUUUUGCUCUCGCGAGAGGCAAGCCAUUUUAUAACUCUUCCGUGUAGUAAAGUAGAUACGAUUUUGCCAAGGCAUUACUGACAGUAAGGGUCAAGUCUGGGUAAUCCCGACCUUCCAUAUCAAUAACACUCUAUCCUUAUUCUUUGUCGUAGUAUCUCUGCCACAACAUAUUUAGUUGUUUAUUUCUGUUCGGAUAAUCACUCUCGUUAUUGCCAUUACAUUUCUACUUUCACUUUUGCCAUUACAUUUCUACUUUCACUUUUGCCAUAGCAUUUCCAAUCACUCAUCAAUUUUCAUCUAUCGCAUACUUUACUGCAUACUUACCUUAGUUUACCAUUCAUCAAUCUUAUCAUAGCAUUAACCAGAUUAUAAUAACUUGACAACUUCUGUGCCUCGAUCUGGUCCUCAUGGGACCGGUACUCACUCAUCACUUUAUUACUUAAACUGACGUGUAUACUUACACAAAAUCACAUAUCAUUUUACACGUGACACUUACCGCUCCUAAUAUUAACCACCUAAGUUCAGUAUAUUACAAAGUACACAAGUAUUAAGGUUUUCAAAUAUAUGCAUCCAUCAACAAAUCAUAUAUGUAAUUUGAUUAUCCUAGCAAAAUAUAAACAAUCGUGAAAGCAAUUACUUAGUAUGAUGUCAAUUGAUCAUUAAGUCUACCUAGGUCACAUAAGACUUUUCGGCUUCUAUCGUUCUGAAGCUUAGGACGGGUAUGGAAUUCAAGAACAAGAAGCAUUGAUUACCUCUAGACGUACCCACGUCCAGAGUAGAAAUCCUGCACAGAAUAUAUGAAAAACGCGAUAUCCGUAAGUAUACGGGUUAGGUUGUAAUACAGUUACAACAGAGUAGAAGAGUAGUCUGAGGAUCGUAACCAAGGGAGGCGAACACUAAAUUAAUUCUAACCUAAGCAUAAAUAGAUCUAGUUAUUACUUUAAAUAGAUUACAUUACGAUAAAGAAAAAAGAAGGUUUUUAUGAUCUAUACUAAUAAUAAAAUAAAUAAAUAAGCUCAGGAAAUCAAAUAAUAAAAUCUAUCAAAUCUGGGCAUGGGUGAUUAGCUUGCUUCAGUAAUCAUAACCAACUGUUACUUCGGAUUUUCUUAUUCCAUCGACUAGUCAAUAUCCCAGUAGGAUCUUUCGAUCUUCCACUAAAAUAAUGAGUUGGUAACAACUACUUAUCUCUCGAGCUCACAGUCCAGACCAGUUCAGGGUUAAGGUGUUUACGGAUAGACCAUAACAAAUUUGGGUUAAUUCCCACCUUAAUGACUUCCUAGGGUUGUUAGGCCUAGGGUUUAGGUUCUUCCUUUCUUGAAUAGUUGAUCUGCUAAGAAAACCCUACAAAAUAGCUAAUCAAUCAUACCUCCAUGCACUAAUCCCCCAUAGGAGGAUUAGUUCCUCAUGGAUCUAAUAAACAAUAUAAACUUGAUAAAACAAAGUAACCAUGAAUAAUAAUUCAAGAGUAUAAAGUUUAGUAGAAGCUUGAUUUGUAUUAGAAUUGAGCACAAAAUCCUCACAGGGUUUGAUUGUAUUUCACAAAUUUGAUCUCUCCCAAAAAAGCAAAUAACAAGAACUAAAAUUAACUUAAAACCUAAUAAGGGAAAAACUAAAGACUAAAUCUAGGAAGAAAAUUAUACAAUACAAAAGCCCUUCCCUAAUAUGUGCAAAAUGAGCCUAUUUAUAGACUUUAGAAUAGUCGUCGUCCUUAACCCUAGGCAACUGCUGUCCUCGUGCUUAACAUUUGAUUAUGUAGACCAAAAUGCCCUUAGCUCGUAAUUAUUUCCCGAACAAAGGUGAUGUCGAGAUAGACUAGGUCUUGUGUCAUGACAUCGAGGGUAGUAUGCUCAUUUUCCAGGUAUCUUCAGGGGUGUGUCGCGACAUCCUCAUGCUGUGUCGUGACACUGAAAGAAGUCUUAGAAUUCUUCUACUCUGCUUCCUAAGUUGUGACAUACAAUGCUCUGUGUUGCAAUACAUCGACCAGUAUCGAGUUAGCAUGCCUUCAUGCUCAUAAAGUAUAUUAGCUCACCCUUAGAUGUCUUUCGCCCUCUAAGGUUAAUAAAAGACUCAAAUUACACACUUUAGUAAAUUUAACUAAAUUUACAAAAACAUAUUUAAAACUUAACUAAAAUGCUUAUGUUCAAGCUCCUAAAGUGUGAAAACUAGUUUAAUCUACUACAUCGAAUUACAACAGAUCAAACUCUUCCACACUUAAAUCAUUGCUUGUCCUCAAGCAAAACAAAAAAAAAAGUAAAUGAAAAGACGACCCUUGAGCAAGCAUGGCAGAAAUGUUAGCUUUGGAGCAUAUGAAUAAGCAUUUCAUAUUCAUACAGAAUAUUGGCAUGAUAUAUAGCUGACUUACCACUUUUGAUAUCAAGGACCUAUGUUCAGUAUAUUACAAAGCAUACAAGCAUUAAAGGUCUCAAAUGUAGGAAUCCAUCAAUAAAUUAUAUAAGUAAUUUGAUUAUCCUAGCAGAAUACAAACAAUCAUACAUGCAAUUAUUUAGUAUGAUUUCAAAUUGUGAAUAAGUCUACCUAGAUCACAUAGGGUUUUUCAGCUUGUAACAUUCCAAGGCUUAAGAUUGGUAUGGAUUUCAAUAACAAUAAGCAUCAAAUAGUUUCAAGCACAAAAAUAGUUUGGCACAUCGUAUUGUCCCAUAUUCUCCCUUUUAGUGACCCUUUCCUGCUCACCGCCUUAUUUCUCCUUCUCUCCUCUUUCUUUUAUCUCCUUAUAGUAAACCUUAGCAUCAUAUAGUAACUACAACUAGCUCACGAGUUUUUGUGCAAUAAUGAUCAAGUUUUUCUAUAGUUGUGACUUUGUCACUUUUCUUUCCUUUUCAUAGUACCUCAUUCAUAAUUGUUUCUAUUUUUCACGUAUUCUUUUCCUACUCGUUUAAAUUUUUUUUUGAAUAUAUCUUUUUUUUAUAGUUUUAAGCUAACCUAUAAUCACUAUACUCUACUAAUCUUUCAUAUCACUUUAUUUUUACAAAGCUACCAUAAUGUAUCUAUUUAACCCUCAAUAUGUAUGGCCAGACGUCUAUAAUCAUGCAGUUCAAGACUAAAGAAAAGGGUAAGCACAAAUCAUCGCUUUUAUCUCACAUAUUGUAUAGAGGUUCAUCAAGAAGUGUUUUCUGGCUCAAAAUAGAUACUAAGGAUGAAUAAAUAGGGUUAGCUUUUUGGCUUUGGGUGUAUACCAAAGAAUGCCUUAGGUCAUCCCUAGGUUUCUGAAUAUUCCCAAAUUUAGUCAACCAAACAAUCACAAAUUCAAUAAUUUAUCAUUCAUACUAGCAUUCUCGUUUCCUAGUAUUCUCUAUGUCAUUUGGUACAAUCAAUUGCUUCAUACCUAUUUACAAUGUAAUAUAUAGAACUUAAUAGUCUAAUAAUAAAAAAUUUAAAAUCACUUAUCCUCAUGCCAAAUUUACUAUAAAUACAAUCAACCUAUGUACAUGCUCCUAACCAAUCACUUGUACUUUUACAAGCUCAAGCACACAAAUGAUAAGAAAAAUCGAAGAAAAAAAAAAAUUAAAAAAAAUCUUCUAUGUUACCCCCCACACUUUAGAUAACUCAUCAUCCUCAAUGUGUAGCCCUGAAAAAAAAUAAGGAACAAAGUUACCCUAUUGAUCGUGAUAGUUUCAUAGACUAUUGGUGGGUACCUCUGUAAACUCGAAAUUAUAUAGGGUUUUUCUAUAUAAUUUUACCACCUUUUUACUUAAUUAUUUUGUUUAUCUUGAGUAAUUAUUAUUGAAAUAGGUUAAUUUUAAUUAAUUAGUAAUUUUGAACAUGAAUUUUGAAAGUAUGUGAAAUUAUGCUUAAUUACAUUAUUUUUAUGCAUAUUUUAUAUGAAUUCAUGUUAAUUUAUUAAUGUAUUUAUUUUUCACCAUGUAGAAGGUCCAUUGGAGACAUGAUUUAAAUAAAUAAAAGAUGGUCAUGCACAAACUAUCCAUAUGGAUGGCAAGACCAUGCAAUUUUGGGCAUGGGGUUGACUAUUUGACCCAGUAAGGAAGAUGAUGAAUGAUGUACAUAUUUGCUAAGUUAUUGGACUGAAAAAAGUUGUCAAACAAGGGGAAUUAAAAGCCCAAUUUCAGCAAUAGAAGAUGGCUACCAAAAAUAUGUUUUGAAAUAUUUAAUGGAAGGUCCUUACAGUUGGAAAAUAAUUAGAAUUCAGCCCAACAACUUCCCUAUUGAAACCGUACACUACAUAGCUAUUUUUAUCUUGAAUUUAAAAUUCAAAUUGAGAAGACUUGGUCAUCCAUUUUCCUUGAAGCAUGGUCGACCACAUAAGAAAAGGAAGCAAGAGAAUUUAAACCUAUUUUUAGUAAAUACCUUGUCAUCCCUCACUUCUAAAUCGUUCCUUAUCACUCAACAUUUCUCUCUCAUUCUCAAUAGUUUUCUCUCAAUUUCUUCUCUCUUUUUCCCUUGCAUAGCCAUUCAUACCCUCUCCAAUAUCUAGCUUCAAAAGCUUUUUCAAAAGCAAUAUUUAGUCGACUACCUUCUAAACCCUUAAAAAAAACCUUCAAUCAGAACGAAGGAGCGCUUCAGUCAAAAUAGAUCCGAAAGGCUGCUGAACUGAGUCUACUCUUUCCUCUUGUCAUUUAUUUUAAACUUGUUUGCUUUGAGUUUUAUGUUUUUAACAUCAAAUAUGAAGUUUUAAUUCCUAUAUUCUAGAAUGAUUAUAUUAAUUUAAUGAGAUUUCUUUAAUUCAUGUUAACAUGUUUUGUGCUUCAGUUGAUUAUGUUUUCAAUUAAUAUCAUGAUGCAUUUCAUUCAUACAUGAUUGGGUGCACUUAAAUUAGAUGAGCAAUCCUAACCAGAUGACGACUAAUAGACGCAUAAUUGAAAAGUGCAAUGCUUAAUUUAGGUCAUUAAAACCGACUAAGUUAAGGUUCAUAAUAUCUUUAGUUAGCUUUAUUAUCUUGCAUGGUUUUUAGAUUUAUGUAAUUGCAAAUGUAAAUAUCCAUGUGACUUUGCAUAAAUGCCAAGAAACCCUUAGUCUAAUAUGAUCAUUAACAUGCAUAUUUAACUAAGUAAAAGAUCUGAGAGGACUUAAUUUGGUUUCCGAACCCAUACGAGAUCAAGUUGCCAUGGAAAUAAUUUCGAGCAUGUUAGCAUGAUGAAAGUAAGUUGAUUUGAUUAAUAUAAUUAUCCUAGCCCAUUUAAUGUUGAUUGUUUUUGUUGCUAAAGCUCUCAUUUCAUACAUUUAGGUAAAUUACAUCUAGAUUAAUUUUGCAUUAGGGAUCACUCUUACAUUUAAUUUAUCUAAUCAUCACUAUCAAAUUUAUUGAGUUUUUUUACAUCAAAUUGUUAAUUAUAAUUUUGCAAUUAAUUGUUUAAGCUUAUAUAGUCCCCGUGGAGACGAUAACUCAUUUGUACUUACUUAUUACUUGAACGACUAUGUACACUUGCGUAAACGUUACAAUUCAUUACAACCUCCUCCUUUGAUCAUUGAUAGUUCAAAAUCAUUACGCUUCUUCCAUGUGAGGCUCCUGUAAAGAAAAUUUAAGCACAAAACAACAACUAGUCUAUUAUUACUCCUACUCCUAACAAUUUAAAUUAAAAAAAUGAUCCCUAAAAUUAAUACAAUCUUUAAAAACAAAAAUUAUAAGUUCAAUCCUCCUCCUCAAAGACUGUCUCAUCAUCCGACGUAUAAUUAGGUACCCUAAUAUUGUUUUGCUGCACGAAUUCCUAAAAAAUAGGCCCAACUCCUGCAUCUAGGUUAUCAUCCAAUCUAGCUUGGGAUGAUUGCCCUCGCCAAUUUAUUAUUGAGUGGUCAAUUUUGCUUUCCUUUGAGAUGAAGUUGGAGAGACCAUCAUCUUUUGCUGGCGUUUAUUCUAUUCCUUAAUCUGUUUAUCCCGAAGCUCAAUGUACUAUGUAUACAAUGUUUCGCCAAUUAUACUUUGGGAUGGCUGCAUUGAUUGUUUCAUGGAUAUCAUCGAUACACCUUCUCUUUUACAUAAGGCCCUCUCUAAGUGAGGAAAGAAGACUCCCACUCUCUAGCCACUAACGCAUCGCUUCAUAUUUUGGUAUAUCCAUGUUCCGAUGUGUACCUAUUUUUCUACAAAAUAGAAUAAAGCAAAAUCGAUCGAAAAGUAUUGACAUUAGAAACAUUCAAAGCAGAAGCUAUUCUAGUGCAUAGAAAUUGAAUCCACAUUUUUGCUUCAGGAAACAUUAUUGCUUAAUUAAAGAAGGUUGGAAUACCAGUACUUGGGCGACAUUUGCAUUCACCCCUCCCCUCUGUUAUCAAGUUUAUAAUGUUGUCAUAGUUAUAUCUCAAAAAUAUUUCAAAUCAAUUUCUUCUGUAAAAUCUUUUUCAUAAAAUGGAGCAUUAUAAAAUUCACAAAUAACCCAAGGGGUAAUUCAUACAUCUUUCCCUCGCACAGGUAUCAUUUCCCAUGUACAACCUUUGGCUUUUCUAGACUCUUGGUCUCAUAAAGAUACAUAAAAUUCCUGAACUACAGGGACCACGAAAAAGUCCUUUGGGAUCGUUAAAAAAUGUUCCCAUCUAUGAUAUCUAACUAAAGGUCUUAUCUCCUGACAGAGAACCAUCGAUGGUUCAAAUCCCCUCUCUUGGAUAAAUAUUUUUCCCUGAAGUUCUAGAAAAUAUUUUUCAACAGUUGGAUUUGAUAAAUUAAAGGGGUUUAGAACCGUCGAUGGUUCUGAUUCAUUGGUUCUUCUCACUUUUCUUCGAGGCAUUUUGAAUAUUGUUCAAGUUCAAUAAUUAAUGAACUAACGAACAAAUUUUCCAAUGGAACAAUAAAAAUAGGAGUUAGGAACCCUUAACCUUGGAAAAUGAUGUGUUGGAUUCCUUGUAAUAUUCAUUUGUGGUCACUCCUUUUAGUUCUUCCCAUUUGUUUCUGUAUCAAAUAGAGAUGAAUAAAAGAAAUUUUAUAGUAAACUAGUAAGAAGAAGUAAGAAAAGAGUUUUAGGGUUUAUCAAAAUUAAGAGGUUUUGAGGUGUUUAAAGUGUUAAGAUUGGGUUAGGUAGUGAUUUAAUAUGUUUUUGGGUUUUAAAUAAGGUUUUUUUAGGGUUAAAAUUGGAUUAAUAAGGUGUUUUAAUUGGCUGGUUUGCGCAGUUGGGUCGGGUCAACCUUGUAAAACAUCCCCAGUAGUUUGCCAUUGUCGCAACAUCGAGGUUCGAUGUCGCAACACACUCUGGAAUUUUGGAAUUUUGGGUAAACUAUCUUUGGUGUCACAACACAGGAUUGCAGUGUUGCGACAUUGGCCCUAUUUUUGCCCAAACUUCCAAUUUCUAAAGUGUCACGGUUCCUAUAAAACAUAAAUUUCAUAAAAAUUAAAAUCUAGACUAAACAGUUAGUUAAAUAUAUAAUAAUUUACAAAGAAUUAAAUAUCAAUUUAAAAUAUCAAUUUUUACUGUCGGAUUCAUCCGAUAGCACCAUUAAUGCAUAUAAGGACGUUUUUCUGGUUCUUUCAAUGUUAGCCCAUCGCCCGUCGUGUCACUCCACCUUAUUUCAUUUAUCUCUUUCCCAGAACCUGUUCUUUUGACCUGCAUUGAUCGUAGGAAGUACAUUCUUUGAUUCUGGAUUAUUAGGGUUAAAAGCAGAUAAUUCAUUACAAUGUUCCCCUAGUCCCUUUUAUUUCCUCACUCUGUUGGUGACCACAUUUAAAAAAAUUUGUUUUGCCAUUGAUCUUCAUUGUUAAUUGAUUUCUCUUUAGAUCAAUGGUGGAGCUUGAUGUAGCUAGAAAAUUUCUGCAAAAUAGAAUGGGUUUCUCACGGUCCUCUUCAAAGUCUAAAACUACAAAGUCCGCCGAAAUGAUAAAGUUGCGCACUUUGACUAACACAUCUUCUAGUAUUCCUUUCGGAUGUAGUGUAAUUUGUGUAUUCUUGAGGUCCCUUAACCUAAGUUCUUCACAUAUUGAUAGAGGCAUUAAAUUGAUACUAGCUCCUAAAUCGCAUAUGGCUCUAUUGAAUUGAAUGCUCCCUAUCUCUAUGGGAAUUGUAAAGCUUCCCAGGUCUUUCAGUUUUUGGUGAACUUGUUUAGAAAUAAUAGCACUACAGGAAGCGCUCAUGUUAAUUUGUUCUCCUACAUUAAUUUUCCUACGUCUAGACAUGAUUUCCUUUAAAAUUUUGACAUACUCAAGAACUUUCUCAAUAGUUUAACUAAAGGUAGUUUCACAUUGAAUGUUUUAAACAAGUUUAAAAACCUUAGAAACUCGUCUUCAUCCCAUUUUUAUCUCUUCCAACCUUGAAGGGAGCAAUAUCUUUACAACGAUAGGGUCUUUAAUUGUCUCUUUCUCUAGUUCAACUACCGGUGCAACUACUUCCUCUAGUUUUGGUUCAUCAUCAGCUUCCAACCUUGAAGGGAACAAUAUCUUUACCACAGUAGGGUCUUUAAUUGUCUCUUUCUCCAAUUCAACUACCGGUGUAACUACUUUCACUAGUUUUGGUUCAUCAUCAGCUUCUAAGGGUCCUUUAUUAAGAUCACUUGUACUCCCCAUAGGUUCCUCCUAAGUAAGGUUCUCUGGGCUACUCAGUACUUUACUCGAUCAAAGCACGAUUGCUUUCACAUGCUCCUUCCCUUCUCUCCAAGGAUUAUUUUUGAUGUUGUAGGGAUACCUAUGCCAAUUUGUGUUUUUAUAUCACCCAUCAUGUUCUUCAAUUGGCUUAUCUGAUCUUCAAACUUAGUCAAUGUUUUUGCUGGAUUGGUGCAUUCAGACUGCACCUGCUUUACAUCUAUCCUCAUUGAUUGCAUUUUCCCUUUGAUUUGAUCCAAACGUUGACCACAUAUAGCAUGAUCAUUUGGGUUGGCCCUUUCCUAAGGUUUUUGUAAAUAAGGAGGUUGAUAGUUAGCAUUUUUAACCUGAUUUGAAGUAUUACCUCAUCCUUGAUUUCCUCCCCAUCUUAGGUUUAGAUGAUCUCUCCAUCCAGGAUUGUAAGUAUUUGAAUAAGGAUUUUCACCCCUAUUCCUGAUGUAAUUCACAUCCUUAGUGAAUUGUUAAUAUAGUGGAAGAGUAGUUUGUCUCCUCCAUAUAUAGACGGUGCAUUCUUUUCAGAUUUUAUUUAAUUGAUUCUAUCAAUUGUUGAUAUUUGUCAUCCUCCUAAACAGCCUUCACCGUAGAUGGUCUUUGGCCAUAUUUGUUUCGUUCAAUUGGCCACUGGUAGGAGUUCAUCGCCAUAUUUUCUAUUAAUUUGUACGUAUCCUCAUACAUUCGGUUCAUUAAAGCACCUCUUGCGGCUCUAUCCAAUCCUAACCUUCAGUGCACAUCCAACACAUUGUAGAAAAUUUACAGUCGUAACCACUCAGGAAAUCCGUGGUGUAGGCAUUUCUGAAUCAACUUUUUAAAAGACACCCAUGCUUCGUGAAAAAUUUCUCCUUCUAAUUGUUUAAACAUAGAAAUUUCCCUUCUUAGCUAGACCGUCUUGCUAAUGGGGAAGAACUUUUGUAGGAAUUUCCCUGCGAGUUCGUCCCAUGUCGUGAUUAAUCCUAAUGCCUGCGAAUCUAACCAAGGAAAGGCAUUACCAAUAAAAGAAAAAGGAAACAACCGAAGAAGAAUAGCGUCAUCAGUGACCCUAUUGUAUUUGAAGGUAUCACAAAGCUGGAUGAACCAUUUUAGACCCUGACUCGAAUCUUCUAUCAUCGUUCCUCGAAACCGCAAAUUAUUUUGAAUCAUCUAGAUCAUAGCUGGCUUGAUCUUGAAAUUAUUGGUCGUGAUGGCUAGCCUCGUUAUACUCCCUUGAACCAUAUCCAGAUUCGAUAACGUAUACUCUCUUAGAGUCCUUUCAUUAUAUGCCUUGAGAUUGUUUGCGGGUAAUUAUGGUGGUGGUGAUGGGUAGUCUAGAUUGUUAUUGUUAGCUUCGUUGAACAAUGGAUUCUCACAUGGUUGUAAAUUACCUUCAGUAGGUAGUUGAUUCUGCAUUAGUUGUGGUUGCUAUUGACAAUUUCUUCAGAUUAUUCAUUCUAAAUCUGUGACUAGCUCUAUAGGUGUUCCCCUACUACAAAUCAUACACUAAACCCAAAGAUAAAAGAUUAGUAUAAAAUAAGAAAAUAAAAUCGUAGCUAUAAUCUAAAAAUUUCCUAAUUAUUCUAUUAAUAUGCGAAAAAUUAAAUUUAAAUCAGUGACGUUGCCUCCCUAGAAACGAUGCAACAACUUGACCGCCUCCGGACGUACUAACGUCCAGAGUGUGAAUACUGCUACAAAAUAUAUGGAAUUUGAGGUGGUGUCUGCAAUUAUACGGGUCGAUUUGUAAUAUUUUGUUUACAACGAAACGCUUCGUAAGAAUUCUGGGGAUCGUACCCAGUAGAGGCUAGUACCAAACUAAUUCAAACCUACAAGCUAAUAGAUCUAAUUAGUACUUUAAAUUAUUUAUAGUACGAUAACAUAAAUAAAAGGGAUUUUUGGGAUUUUUAUAAUAGUAAAAUAAUAAUAAAGAAAUAAAUAACAAGAGAUUGAAAAGUAGAAUUAAUCAAAUCUACGUAUAGGUGAUUAGCUCGUUUCGACAAUCCCCAUCAAUUUUCACUUUGGGUUCCUCAUAAAUCAAAUAGUCACUAUUUCAGUAGGAUCUUCUGAUCUUCUACUAAAAUAACGAGUCAGUAAAAACUACUUAUUUUUCGACCUCACAGUCCAGACCGGCUUGGGAUGAAGAUGUUCACGGAUAGGCCAUACCAAUUUUGGGUUAAUUCCUACCUUGAUGACUUCCUAGGGUUGUCAAGCCUUGGAUUUUGGUUACUCUUUUCCCAAAUAGUUGAUCCAUUGAGUAACCCUAUAAAAUAGUUAAUAGAUCAUACCUCUACUCACUAAUCCCCUAUAGAAGGAUUAGUUCCUCAUGGAAUCAAUAAACAUUAUAUCGAAUAUAUGUAUAAAGAAUAAAACAAGAGUAGAGUUUAGAGAAUCCUAUUUGUAUUUGAUAUAUGAAGUGCUGUAAUCCUCAACCGUUUGUUUGCGUCUACAAAUCAAGUUCUCCGAUGAACACGAAUGAAAAGAACUAAAAACAAGUCUAAACCCUAAGAGAAAGAAAAAUAAACUAAAAACUAAAUUUUACAAAAGAAACUAAUAAUAUGAAAAGCUCUCUAUAACAAGUGUGAAAUGGGCCUAUCUAUAACAAGUCUAUAUUCAUGUAGUUCAGGACCGAAGUAAAAGGGUAAAUACAAAGUAACAUUUUUGGCUUGAGUUUUGUAUGAAAGUUAAUCCAGAAGUCUAUUCUAACUCAAAAUAGGUACUAAGGAUGAAUAAACAAGGUUAGCUUUUUUACUCUAGGUGUAUACCAAACAAUGCCUUAGGUUAUCCCUAAGCAUCUCAAUAUUCGCAAAUUUAAUCAAUCAAACAAUCACAAAUUCAACUAUUUAUCAUACAUACUAGCAUGCUAGUUUCCUCGUAUUUUUUAUAUCAUUUGGUAUAUUCAAUAACUCAAUACCUAUUUACAAUGUAAUAUAUAGAACUUAGUUGUCUAAAAAUUGAAAAUUUAAAACCAUUCACUAUCAUGCCAAGUUUAUAGUAAACACAAUCAACCUAUGUACAUGCUCCUAACCAAUCACUUAUAUUUCUACAAGCUUAAGCAUGCAUUUGACAAUAAAAGAAAAGAAAAAGUAUAGAAACAAAAUAAGAAAAAAAUUCCUAUGUUACCCCCCACACUUUAGAUAGCACAUUAUCCCUAAUGUGCACCCCUAUAGAUAAGGAAAGAAGUUACCCGAUUGAUCGUUACAUUGUAGUAGUCUUAUGGUGGUUGCUUCCUACCUUGUUCGUUAAAAGCUCAAAAAUGUUGUGCUUUCUUUCAUGUGAAGUUCCUACAUAGGAAACUUGAAAUAGAAUAUAUAUAUAUAAAUCUACUGUUACUCCUACUCCUAAAAUAAAAAUAAAAAUCAUCCCAAUUAUUUACAAUAGAAAAAGUUAAAAGUUAAUUUAAUCAUUCUCCUCCUCCUAGUAAUCCAUCUCAUUCCCACCACUUCAGCGUCCUCCUCUUUACUACCUUCCCCUUCCUCGGUUCCUUGCUCUUCUACUUUAGACCACAUUUUUCUGGCUGAUAAUUUGGUACUCUCAUAUUAUUCUACCGCUCGAAUUCUUGAAGAACUAGGCCCGUUUCUUGUAACCAUCUUAUCAUCCAUUCCAUCUUUAUGUUACUACUCUCGCCUGUUUCUUUACAAGAUGUCGAUUUUGCCUUUCACUUAAGUGAAGUUGGGACAUCCAUCUUUUCCUUUCGGCAUUUUUUUCUAAUCGUUUAUUUUCUUUCGUUGAAGCUUCAUAUAUUGCUUGUAUAAUGAGUCUCCUAUGAGACAUGGCUUCAUGAACUACUUAGUAUUUGUCAUUGGAACUUUGGCCUUCAUGCACAAGGUAGUCACUAAGUGGGGGAAGAAGACCCUAACAUUUUGGUCACUAAUGCACUGCUUCAUAUAAUGGUAGAUCAAUGUCCCAAUGCACACCUAUUUAUUCUUGGUCGAAAUCUUUUGAUUCCUCGUGAAAUUUCCUUGCACAUUCUUUGCUAAUGUAAUGUGGUUGUUCUGAGAAGGUUGAAUCCUUGUUGUUGUCUUGACAUUGGGAUUCGUUUACUCCAAGUGGGCAAAUGAAAAAUAUGCAACAUAGUAUAAAGGAAAUAAAAUAAAAUAAACAUUAAAGUAAUAAAAGAAAUAAAACAAAAUUUAAAACAAGAAAUAGAAGUUCUUUAAAGAUUGAGACGUUCUGUGUUGCCACCAUAAAAGAACCUCUAGCUAGUUCUCGGCACCUUGAUCCGAUGUUUGUUUUUCUGUUGAUGUAUUUGAACCAGUCACUUUGGUUUAUUCGAAUUAUUUUGUCUUAUUUUUUACCGUCGUGAAAUCCACAUUGUCAGUCAUUUAGUACCAAAUCCGAGCCAACCCCAAACUUUUUUUGAGGUAUUAUUGUCUCGAGCUUCCUCCUCUCCUUGUUAUAUGAGGCUUUGGUGACUCGAGCCUUGUUGCUGUUUUCGAAUGAGAAUGAGUCAAACUCCUCGACUUUUUUAGUUGGAACCUUUUCUGCUAUUGCCAGAAAGUGUAUUAACUCUUCUGUACUUUCAUUCAAUAUCGGUUUAACCUCUAUGUUAGUGUUUAAUUCAUCUUUUACUUAUACCUCUAUGGUUAGAUCUAUUACUAUGUGAAUUGGAUCAGAUACCAUUUCCACUAUGUUCAACUCAUCCCCAUAAUCUUUAGUUCUAAGCUCAAGUUGAAUCUCAUCAUGGCUAUCGGUAAUACCAAGGUUCUCAUGAUCCAAGUUGUGAAGGUCAAACAUGUCCUCUUUGAGGUAGCACUUCGGAUAUUUUUUUUCAUUAUUUGCACCAUCAUGUUUGACAUGUUUGAUAAGACCUUAGAGUUGACCAUCCUUGUGGUUUCACAUGGAAACAUCUCAGAUGAAUCACUAGGAGGCUUGUCCGAAUGUUUGGGCAUAUCAUGUUCUUCAAGUGUUAGAAAUUGUAGAUUGCAAAUUCAUAACUACUUAUAAGCACUUAUUAGAAUGUGAUGAUUUACUCAAAAGAUACAUUUGAUUCCAUGAGACAUGUUUUUCUAAGAAGUAUGUCCAAUUGAAAUCAAACAUAAAGAAUUGUGACUUUUAAAAAUAGUGUCUAUUGGGUGUAUAUAAAUAGAGGGUCUAUGGUGCUCAUAAAUUACAAUUACAAUCAAUCCUAUUUUUAAAAAAUUAAAGUAAGAGUUAGGGAAUUCCUUGAUUUUUCUAAUCAAAGGAAAUUCAAAAACUUCAUUGUAUCCUGGGAGGACCUUUGUCUUAACCCUUUAGUAACUUUGUGUGGGGGCAAAUAGUUCGUUUUAGAAUGCAUCACCCACUCCUCGAAGUCUACUGUUUAUUUCAAUAUCUUCCCCACUCUAUAUAUCUAACAAUCAAAGAGAAAUACUUUGGAGAUGGCGAUGGAGGCUACCACACAUUCAAAGUAAUGAACUAAGAGUUUGUGAAACUUGACCAAUUUGAUGGUUCACACUUCAAUCGUUGAAAUGACAAGAUGUUGUUCAUUCUUACUAUCUUAAAUGUGGCAUACGUUCUGGAUCUGAACCUACAACCUGUGGAGGACCCCACCCUUAAUGCGAACCCCGAAGAAAUUAUAAAAGUGGCCGAACUAAAGAAGAAGCAUGAAGAAGAAAAUUUCACAUGUCAAUGACACAUUCUCAACACCUUGUCUAAUCGAUUGUAUGAUCUCUACAUGUCGAAGUAAUCCCUGGUGGAAAUAUGGAAAGCUCUUGAAGAAAAAUACAACACCAAGCGGUAAUGUACUGAUAAAUUUUUAAUAAUGAAGCAUUUUGAAUUCAAAAUGCUCGAUAGUAUCCUGAUCAUAGAUCAAGUUCAUGAAUUAUAAGUCCUUGUAAGUAGGCUUCGUGACUUGAAAUUUGUUAUUUUGGAAUUGUUACAAGUCAUCUUGAAGUUGCCCUCAUCUUGGAACAAUUAUUGGAAGAAACUUCAGCGUAUGGCAGAGGACUUCACUGUGGAGAAAAUACUUAGGCAUUUGAUAUUGAAGAAGAAACUCGGAAGCGUGAUGCGGUGUAUCUUUCCCAAAUUUCUAAAGUGAACCAUAUGAGUGACUCCAAGAACUCUCGAAAUGGUAAGCGAAAGGCCACAUCCGAGGCCAAUGACAUGCAAGACAAGAAGAAAAAAAUCUCGCAAUUGUUAUAAUUGCAAUAGGAAAGGACAUUAUAUUAAGGAUUGCAAACUUCUCAAAAAGAAGCAAGAUGCCACAAAUUCUAAAGCCAACAUGGUGGCGGACAUGGACUUAAUGGCCAUGGUUACGGAAAGGAUCGAGAGUUUGGAGAUUGUUAUGAUUACUGAACUUAACAUAGCCAUGACUGAUAAGUCUUGUAAUUGAUGGCUCGACUCCAGAGCUACCAUCCAUGUGUGUAAUGACCGACAACAAUUCAAGAGUUAUGAACUAGUAGCAAACCGUGAAGUGCUUAUAGGCAACUAUCAAUCGACUAAGGUACUCGAUCAAGAGAUGGUGGAACUUAACUUCACAUCUGGGAAAAAAUUAGAUUUGACCAAUGUGUUGCAUGUUCCUGAUAUGAGAAAGAAUUUAGUGUCCACGACUAUUCUGUGUAACAAGGGGUUCAAGAUUAUCUUAGAAUCUGAUAAGUUUGUCUUGCUUUAGUGUCAGCAAGGGUAUGUUCAUGUUGAGCAUUGAUAUGAAUAAAGUUAAUUCUUUUGCUUAUAUUGUUGAAUCUAAUCCUUUGUGGCAUGCGCGUUUAGCACAUUUUAAUUUUAAAACUUUACAAUAUAUGCAAAACAAUGGUUAUAUAAGUCUAAGUAAUGAUGAGUUUGUGGAGAAAUGUGAAAUUUCUAUUCAAUCAAAAAUUACCAAAAAUUGGUGUCCUAAUAAGUGUGAAAGGAAUUCACAAGUGUUAGAUUUAAUUCAUUCAGAUGUUUGUGAAUUAAAUGAAACUCUAACAAAAGGUGGAAAACGAUAUUUUAUCACUUUUAUAGACAACUUCUCUAGAUUUACUUAUGUGUAUCUCAUGAGAAGUGAAGAUGAGGCGUUUGAUAUGUUUAAACAUUUUAAAAUUGAGGUUGAGAAUUUGUUUAGUUAGGAAAUCAAAGUGCUUCGUAGUUAUAGAGGUGGUAAAUAUUUUUCAAAUGAAUUUAAUAUAUUUUGUGAGGAACAAGGUGUGGCACAUGAGUGUUUCGUGCCUUAUACUCUGCCAACAAAAUGGUUUGGUAGAAAGAAAGAAUCGUACUUUAGUAGAUAUGGUUAACUCGAUGUUGUUAAAUGCUAAACUUCCAUAUAAUCUAUGGGGUGAAGCAUUAUUGACUAUAUGUUAUAUUCUUAACAAAAUACUGUAGAAAAAAUUCAAAGUAUCUCCAUAUGAGUUAGGGAAGAGCCAGAUGCCAAACUUAGAUUAUUUCAAAGUGUAGGGGUGUUUGGCUUACUAUAGAGUUCUCGACCAACGGAGAACAAAGUUAGGUCUAAGAGCCAUCAAGGGUGAAUUCAUUGGAUAUGCCCAACACUCUAAGGCUUAUCGUGUUCUUGACUUAGUGUCAAAUACAAUAAUUAAAACAAGAGAUGUCGUAUUCAUUGAAAAUAAGGUUUUUAAUGAUUCAAAAGAUUCAGAAAAAGAAUAUCAACCAAUGGUCUCAAGUGAUCAAACCAAAAAAAUUCUUUGUGACAAUAAGGAUAUGGAGCCGAGGAAAAGUCAAAGAGUGUGAAAAGUAAAGAACUUUGGUCCUGAUUUCAUUUCCUCGCAAUCUCUAGCAUUACUUGUUAAGGGAAAUAAAGAAUCUGUAAUUAGGAAGAUUGUAACGCUGAAGUUUGUGCAAGUGUACACAGUCAUUAUCAAGUAAUGAGUAAGUAUCGAGUUAUCGUCUCCAUAGGGAUUGUAUUUGUGCUAAGUCACUUAAUUUGUAGAAUUAUAUUAACAAUUUGGUAAAUAAAAACACAAUAUAGUUGAGAUGUGGUGAUUAAAAUAUAUUAAACUAAAUGCAAUGAUCCCUAAUGCAAAUUAUCCUAAGUAUGCAAACUAUAUGAAUGAAAUAGAUUUUAGUAAAAUUAAACACAAUUCACAACAAUUAUAACAUAAAUAAACUAGGGCAAUUACUUUUAUUAAACUCAAUUUAUUAUCAACAUGCUUAAUAACAUUCGGAAAAACAUUCCAUCGCAACUCGAUCUUUCAUGAGUUUGGAAACCACAUUAGGUCCUUUCGGAAUCCUUUACUUAGUAAAUACGCAUUUUACUGAUCCUUAUUUACUAAGGGUUUCUUGGCAUUCGUGUGAGUUAACAGGGACGUGUUAGGUUUGAAACAAUUUAAUCACACAAAUCUAAAAAAUAUGUAGAUAAUAGAGCUUGGUUAGAGUUGUUAUGCAACCUACAAUUCAAUCGGGUUAGGAUCUAAAUUGAGCAUGCACAUUUCAAUGAUGCGUCCAUUACUCGUCAUUUGGUUAGGAUCGCUCAGCUAAUUCAGGUGCAUUUCAAUCACGUAUGAACGAAAUACAAAGUUGAUUUUAAUUGAAAACAUAAGCAUGAACCAAAUAAAUAUUAUUUAAUAAAAAUAAUCAUCCUAGCUUAAAUAAAAUUAAGCUAUCAUUAUUGUAAAUAAGAACAAAGAACACUUAGCAAAUAUCUUUAAAUUAAAUUUAAAGAAAAGGAAGAUUAAACCCAAUUCAGAGUGGCUGUCACCCAAGACUAUGAAUAACGAGGCUCAUUCGCUUCUUUGCGUCGCUUCUUUGCGUUGCUCCUUUGCUGAUGGCUCUCCAAGGUGGCCGACCAAGGGUUCUUUAAGAGGCUUAAUUGCUAAAAUCCUUAUGCAAGGAUGAUGAAGGGGAAAGAUAUCUAAAAGAGUUGAGAGAAUGAUGAAUGAGUGAGAGAUGAUGGGAUGAGGGAUGAUUGAAAAAGUAAGAAAUGAGCUUUUAUUUAUAGGUGAAGCAAGGGAGCUAGUUUGCUAAAAAUAGGUGUGUCCAUCCUUUGAAACUUCCUCCAAGAGUGGCCGGCCAUGAAUUGAGGAAAGGUGGCUGAUUUUUCCUUUAUUUUUGGUCAAUUUGAAUGCCACAACAACUCAGGACUAAGACUUGGUUAUCAGUAAAUCUUCGAGAAAAUCUCCAAUUUCUUUAACUCUUCAAAGACUUUGUAUAAUUAAACCAAAAAAUGGUUUAUGUCAUCCAUGUGCAGCCAAAAAUUGGGUUGACUUGGUCCCCAAUUUGGACGGUUUUGCAAUUAGAAGUAAACUCUCAGACUUGUCCAAAAAUAGUAGAUAGUUUAGAGGACCAAAUAAUAUAAUUUAACCACUUUAAUUAAUCAAUUUACCUAAUUAACUAAAACCCAAUUUAUUAAUGAAUUAUUAAAAAUGAACUAUUAAACAUAACUUUAUAUUUUAUUAUUUAAUUUAAUCAUGCAUGGCCCACUUUAUAGCUUAAAAAUAUAAUAUGCUCAAAUUAAUAUAAAAUAAGCCAUUUUAUGCAUGAAAACUAUAUAAUAAAGUAUAAAAUCACAUUCUAAUAAUUUCUAUGUCCUAAUUUCAUAUUUUCUCAUUUUUGAUUAAUUUAUUAAACAAUUACUUGGUUUUAACAACAAAUUUAAGUAAAAAUGUGAUGAAUUAUGUAGGAAAAAUCCUAUAUAUUUUUCAGUUUACAAAAAUCCCCAUAAUGUUUAAUGUGGAUGGUGAUUCACAAUCUUAUGGUGAAACCAUGACUUUUAGGGAUGCAAGAUUUUGGAAAGAGGCGAUCAAUGAUGAAAUGGAUUCAAUAUUAGCCAAUAAUACUUGGAUUUCUAGUUGAUCUUCCUCAAGGAUUGAAGCCUAUCGGGUGUAAAUGGGUGUUUAAAAGGAAAAAUAAUCCAACAGGGGGUUCUUCUAGCUUUAAGUCUAGGUUGGUGGCUAAAGGAUUUAGGCAAAAGGAAGGCCUAGACUAUUUUCACACUUGUAUCUAUCCAUAAGUUACAUAUACAUAAAAUGGAUGUUAAGAUAACUUUUUUAAAUGGUGAUCUCGAAGAGGAAAUCUACAUGGAGCAACUACAAGGCUUUGCUCUUCCUAGGAAUGAACAUAAGGUGUGUAAGUUUAUCAAGUCAUUAUAUGUUUUAAAACAAUCACCUAAACAGUGGCAUGAGAAAUUUGACUUGAUUAUCUUGUCCUAUGGUUUUUUACAUAAUGGUGCAGCUAAAUGUAUUUACACUAAAUUCAUCAAUAGAUAUGGUGUAAUUAUUUGUCUUUAUGUAGAUGACUUGUUGAUUUUUGGUAUGAACAUGGAUGGUGUUCGUGAGACCAAAGAGUAUUUAGCCUCGAAUUUUAAGAUAAAGGAUCUCAACGAGGGAGAUACAUUUCUAGGUAUAAAGGUGAAAAAGCAUGAAAAGGGCUUUGUACUAAGCCAAUCUCACUAUAUCGAGAAAGUAUUGGAAAAGUUUAAACACUUGAAUAUGAAGGAUUUGAACACGCUAUACGAUUGGAACUUCAAGUUAAGUGAGAAUAAUGGUAAGGCUAUAGUGCAACUUGAGUAUGCCAACACAAUCGGAAGUCUAAUGUAUGCAAUGCAUUCCACUAGACACGAUAUCGCAUUUGUUGUGUGCCAAUUGGCGAGAUUUACAAAUUGUCCUAGUACCGAUCAUAGGAAAGGAAUUUGUAGGAUUUUUCGCCAUCUUAGGAAAAUAAAAAAUUUGGGAUAAUUCUAUAGUGAUUAUCCCGCGGUACUAGAAGGUUACUCGGAUGCAAGUUGGAUUACAAGUCUAACUGACAAUAAGUCCACAUCGGGAAGGAUUUUUACAAUCAGAGGUGGAGCCAUUAGUUGGGCCUCCAAACAAAAACAAGCAUCUCACGUUCAGCUAUGGAGGCUGAAUAGUGGAAUGGCUAAGAGAUCUUUUGCUAGAUAUAAAGUUAUGGCCACAACGUAAGUUCGCCAUUUUCGUAUAAUGCAAUAGUGAAUCUACCAUGUCUCAAGCAUACAAUAAGGUGUAUAAUGGAAAGUCUAGACAUAUAAGUUUGUGACAUGAGUAUGUCAGACAAUUGAUUAGUGACAGUGUGAUAACUGUUACCUAUGUUAAGUCAGUUGACAAUUUAGUGGAUCCAUUGAAAAAAGGUUUUUAAAGAGAUUUGGUUAAGAGUACCACCACUAAGAUGGGAUUAAAACCAUUCUAAUCGCUUCAUUGAUAAUGGAAACCCUAACAUAUUCUAGCUAAAAGUUAGUUUCGAGGUUCAAAGGGUAAUAACAAGUUAUUGAAUGACAAUGUGAACUAAGGAUCAGGAUUUAAUGUUUAUAUUAUAGGAGGAUAAGUUUUACUCUUAAUAGAUUGACAUUAAUUGUCAUGAAAUCCACCAAUAUGGACAUGAAGUGAUGUCACUUCAACGAGAUUUUCUUUAUGGUUUUCUCUCAUACAUUUUUAUGAAACGGGAUGAGCACAUGGCCAUAACGGUGCUAAAGCAAAUUAAACUCUUACUCUAAUACUUUACAGUUAUGUGUGAAAUUUUUCCAGUACUGACUUUAAGAAUGAUGGUCCAAGCGAAUAGCCACCAUUUACUUUGUUGAUAUUUUGAAGAGUUUGCACUAAAGGAAGGUUCAAUCUAUGGACACCUUUCUUUAUGCAUAAUCAUUGUGUACUUAUUUUUUGGAAUUAGCAAUCUAGUUGGGGACUGUUAGAAAUUGUAGAUUGCAAAUACAUAAUUAUUCAUGAGCACUUAUUAGAAAGUGAUGGUUUAUUCAAAAGAUACAUUUGAUCCGUGAGACAUGUUUCUCUAAGAAGUAUGUCCAAUAGAAAUCAAACAUAAAGGAUUGUGACUCUUUAAAAUAGUGUCUAUUGAGUGUAUAUAAAUAAAAGGUCAAUGGUUCUCACAAAUUACAAUCACAAUCAAUUCUAUUUUUUUAGAAAUUAAAGUAAGAGUUAGGGAAUUCCUCGAUUUGCUAAUCAAAGGAAAUUCAAAAACUUCAUUCUAUCCCGGGAAGAACUUUGUCUUAACCCUCUAGCAACUUUGUAUGGGGGCAAAUAGUUCUCUUUGGAAAGCAUCACCCGCGCCUCGAAGUCUACUAUUUAUUUCAAUAUCGUACUCGGAUUUUUCUUCUCCACUCUAUAUAUCUAACAACAAGUGCCUCACACAAAUUACCAGUGAACUCAUGUGGAUGUUCAACUAUAUUAGUCCCUUGAUCAUUACUCCACUAGUGCGUUGAGGCUUCGUUUCCACAUUGGCUCAGCUCUAUAAUGAAAAUUCUUUUAUUCUCCAUAAUCUCUAAUUCUUUAUAUACUCCCUUUUCAAAUAUUUCGUCAUAAAAAAUUAUCUCAUCGUUAAACCACAUGUAAUUAGUUUCAUCCAUAAUUGAAUGGUUUUUCAAGAUUAAUCUCUAUGGAUUAGUGAAUAACUAAAUAGAUGUUCCUUUCCACUAAAGCAUAUACUGAAAUUAACAAAGAAAAAGAAAGAAGUUAGUAAACUAAAUUAAUAAAAUUCAAAUUACAAAUUGUAUCUAUAAUUCAAAUAUUUCCUAAUUAUUCUAUUAAAACGUAAAAAUUACAUUUAAUUUAGUAAUGUUGCCUUCACAGCAACGACGCCAACAACUUGACCGCCUUCGGACGUACCAACAUCUAGAGUAUGAGUACUACAACUAAAAGAUAUGGAAUUAAGGUAGUGUUCGCAAGUAUACAGGUUAGGUUGUAAUAUAGUUACAACGAAGCAAGUAUGUACUCCGAGGAUCAUACCCAACGCAGGCGAGUACUAAAUUAAUGUCAACUUGAACGCAAAUAGAACUAAUUAGUAGUUUAAAUAAAUUAUAGUACAAUAAAACAUAAAAGAAUAUUUUUUGGGAUUUUAUAAAGAAUAAAAUAAAAAUAAAAAAAGGAAAGUGAGAUUCAGAAAUAUAAAUUCUAACUUAAUUAGAUCUAAGUAUGGUUGAUUAGUUUGCUUUGGUGAUCAUAACUAAUUCAUAUUUCGGGUUUCUACUCAACCAACUAGUCGCUACCCUAGAAGGAUCUCUCGAUCUUCCACUAAACUAAUGAGUCGACAAGAACUACUUAUCUCUCAACCUCACAAUUCAAACCGAUUCGGGGUAAAGGUGUUCACAAUAGGCCAUACCAAUUUUGGGUUAAUUCCUACCUGAAUGACUUUCUAGGGUCAUACCUAGGUUUUAAGUUCUUUCUCUCCCAACCAGUUGCUCCACUAAGAAAACCCUACAUAACAAUUAAUUAAUCACACCUCCACCACAAAUCCCCCAUAAAAGAUUUAGUUCCUUAUGGAUCUCAUGAACACAGUAAUCUUGAUAAUAAAGAUAAGCAUGAAUAAUGAAUCAAGAUAAAGGUUAAAGAGAAUCCUGAAUUGUAUUGAUUGAAAUGCAGAAUCCACAGUAGUUUGAUCACAAUUACAACUCAAGUUCUUCGACAAAUACGAAAUAGAACAGAACUGAAAUAAACCUAACGCCUAAAAGAAAGGAAAAACUAGAGACUAAAUUUACAAAGAAAAUCUUAGAAUUUAAAAUCUGUCCUAAACAAGUGUUUUAAGAGCCUAUUUAUAGAGUUAGGGUUGUCGUCAUCCUCAACCCUAGGUUAGUUGAUGUUCUCGUGUUUUAAUUUCCAUUGUGCGGGCCAAAAUACCUUUGGCUCGUUAAUACUUCCCGUAAAGGACUGAUGUCACGACACCCUAGUUCCUGUUUCAUGACAUUGAAGGCAAUAUGCAUGGUUCAAGGCUAACUACAGCGGUGUGUCGUGACAUCCCUUAGCUAUGUCAUGACAUCCAAGGCAGUACAAUUGUAACACCCCAAACCCGGCCUAGAAGUUAUGGCCGAAUCUGGCGGUGUCACAUUGAGGUGUUUAGUGAAAAUUGAACUCGUUGGUAAAAAUUCAUUUCUAGGUUUAAAAACCCCAUUAUUAUUAUUUAACAAAUCAUCUAGUAAAAAAAGUUUACCUUGUUAUCUGCUAUUGUGAUAAAAGUUUGAUCUAAAAUCGCAGAAGCUUUUGAAAACUCUAAUGUUUAAAUUUCGUGUCUUUAAAAACAGUAAUUAUUUUGAAAAUUCAUCUUCUGCUAAAUUAGCAGUUUAAAAUAAGUAAGCAAAAUCCCAAUUAAAAAUUUAAACAAACAUAAAUGGCCUUAUUACAAAAACAAAACCCAACAUAAACUUUAAAUUUAUUUAAAAACAAUGUAGAUCAGUUGCAGUUGUGUGGCCACCUCCGAGUCCCUCGCAGCACCAAAUCGCCUAUAGCUGAGGAUUACCUGUACAGUAAAAACGAAAGGGUGAGUUUACGAAACUCAUUGUGUAAUCCCUUACCAAACAGUUAGCAUACAACAUUCAGUAACAGUCUGGGCCUGAGCCCUAUACAGUAAUAGUACAGUGUGGGCCUUAGCCCAUUACAGUAACAGUAUGUGGGCCUUAGCCCAAUAUAGUAACAAUGUGUGGGCCUUAGCCCAAUACAGUAACAGUGUGAGCCUUAGCCCAAUACAGUAAUCAAUACAAUGCAGUAAUGCAACCCAUCCCAAUCCAACUAACAUACCACUCCGUACCACCAACACACCAUGUGGGGAUAAAAUCGACCCACCCAGCCAACACACCAAUAUCGCAGCAAAGCUGCCAGUAACAGUAUCGCAGCAAAGCUGUCAGUAACUAUAUCGCAGUAAAGCUGCCAGUAACAGUAUACUUCCUCCAUAACAGUAUCCCAACCCCAUACAGUAUGUCAUGUCAUAAAUCAUAUGUGUAUGCUAAAUGUCAUACUCAUUCAUAGUCAUACAUAUCAUAAAGCAAAUCAGUUAUACAUAACAUAAGGCCAUAUCAAUCAUUUCAUCUCCUAGGGGUAUAACAGUUAUUAUUUUACCCUAUGGGGGUAAUUCAAUCAUUUUACCCUAUAGGGGUAAUUUGUUCAUUUUACCCUACGAGGGUAAUUCGGUCAUUUUACCCUACGAGGUAAUUCAGUUAUUUUAUCCUACGGGGGUAAUUCGAUCAUUUUACCCUACGGGGGUAACUCGAUCAUUUUACCCUAUAGAGGUAAUUCAGUCAUUUUACCCUACGAGGGUAAUUCAAUCAUUUUAUCCUUCGACAGUAUUUCAGUUAUUUAACCCUAUAGGGGUAUUUCGAUCAUUUUACCCUUCGAGGGUAUUUUGAUCAUUUUACCCUUCAGGGGUAUUUUGAUCAUUUUAACUUAUGGGGGUAUUUCGGUCAUUUUACCCUAUGGGGGUAUUUCAAUCAUUCUACCCUAUGAGGGUAUUUCGAUCAUUCUACCCUAUGGGGGUAUUUCGGUCAUUCUACCUUAUGGGGUAUUUCCAUCAUUUUACCUAUGAGGGUAUUUCAGUCAUUUUACCUUAUGGGGGUAUUUCGGUCAUUCUACCCAAUGGGGGUAUUUCGAUCAUUCUACCUUAUGGGGUAUUUAAGUCAUUCUACCCUAUGAGGGUAUUUCAGUCAUUUUACCCUAUGGGGGUAUUUCGAUCUUUCUACCCUAUAGGGGUAUUUCGGUCACUUUACCCUAUCAGGGUAUUUUGGUCAUUUUAACUAUUUUGGGGUCUCGAUGCAGAUAUCAACCACCCAGAAUUCCUUCCAGGGCCUGCUGAAUUACUUUUAUAGAUUCCGUCAUUUCACUGAUUCGGACUAAAUAACGAGCUAAUGAAUCUCCUUCUUUUUGCCACUGGAUUUCCCAAUCAAAUUCUUCGUAACACUCAUAAUGAUAAACUUUCUGAAGAUCCUAUUUGAUUCCAGAUGCUCGUAGCAUUGGGCCGGAUAAACCCCAAUUUAUUGCUUCUUCUCCACCAAUAACGCCUAUCCCUUAAAUUCGUUCUAAAAAAAUAGGAUUUUCAAUGAUUCCUGUUAAAAAUAAUCAAAAAAAUCCAAACAUUUAUCUAUCCAGCCGUAAGGUAGAUCGGCCGCCGCUCCUCCGAUACGAAAAUAAUUAUGCAUCAUUCUCAUACCGGUGGCAGCUUCGAAUAGAUCAUAUACUAAUUCUCUUUCUCUGAAAAUAUAGAAAAGGGGAGUCUGUGCACCAAUAUCUGCCAUAAAAGGUCCAAGCCAUAACAGAUGAGAAGCUAUAUGACUCAACUCCAACAUAGUGGCUAAAUAAUCCCAACGCGUUACAUACGGCAAAUAUUGUAUAAUUGUUCGGUUUUCUGCAAUUUUAUCCAUUCCUCUAUGUAAAUAACCUAAUAUUGGUUCACAGUCAACAACAUCUUCACCAUCUAGAGUAACAAUGAGACGAAGAACACCAUGCAUUGAUGGGUGGUGAGGCCCCAUAUUGACUAUCAUAAGGUCUUUUUCUGUAGCUGAUAGAUUCAUAAGUUUUUCCUCGAUUCAUUCUUACAUGAAUUGUUGAAAACGAAAACAAGUACAUCAAAAUGAAAAUCUAAUAAAUCGACUAAUUCAAAAUUUACAAAUUAACGAUUUUUUGAUUCCCGAAUAUCCAACUCACUAAUUAAUUCUUUAUAACAUAUUUUAUUUGUCUCGAAAGGUCCGCAAUCUCCUUGACCGACUCAGGUAACCUAAAUGGUCAUAACAGUGUAAAUGGGCCCAAGGCCCAUUACUCGGCCCAAGUGGGCCCACACGCUUGGGUGGCCCGUUCAGCCCAAAUUUCGCCACGGCUAUGAGAUAUACUUAGCCCCGACCAGUAUUUGCCACAAAUCAAUGAUCAUCGCACCCUUGGUUCCCAGGCAAUGUGCCAAUCAACCUCGACCACCACCAGUUAGGAAUGAAAGCAAUGCAGGUUGGAGAGAGCGACGAAAACCUUGAAAACCUCACCGAUCUCCCAUCGAGAACAAGGAACAAAUGAGAUGAUAUAUAUCUCUCCACAACAACAACCUCCCCAAAUCCCAAUAUUCUCUCCUCAAAUCUCUCCAAGUAUCCCUCCUUAAUUCUCUCUAUGACCAGUUCAAACUCCAUUUAGCAGUAUUUCAAUCCAACUCUACCACCCACACGAAUUAGGCAGCAAAAUAAAUAUUCCCUUUCUGAUGCGCCACCACUCAAACCUUAGACCCCAUGUACACUCCAUACGCCCCUUACCACUAGACCAACAACUCAUUUGUAUCAUAUUUUAACCACAAUAAUUUAAGAACCUACUAUCUAGAUCCAAGGAUUUUAUUCACUUAAAAUAAAAAUUUUGCAUAAGCCAAGGCUUGAACCCCUGACUUCUCAGACACUUCCAAACACUCCUAAGUCUCUUAACCACUGAAGUAGAUAUUCAUUUAUGUCACUUCCUUGCACAACUAAAUAUUUGUGUGCAGUCUCCUAACUGUUCCCUUGUUCAAAACCUAUUUCUUCUAGGCCCAAAAUUCGGGGUGUUACAAUAGUGGUUCUGGUCUUCUACUGCCUAUGUUGCAACAUAGAACUACCCAUGUUGCAACAUAGCAACCAACUUUGAGUUCCUAUGCCUUUGAAUGGUCUUUUGCACACUUACUAAGUACAUUAGCCCACCUUUAGGCCUCAGCCGGCCCUUAAGGUCAAUAAAAGACUCAAAAUGAACUUUUCAUUGGAUUUAACUAAACUAAGAAAACAUAAGUAAAACAUACUAAAACUGCUCGUAUUCAAGCUCCUCAAGUACAAAAACUAGUUUAAUUAGCUACACCGAAUUACCACAGAUCAGAAACUCCGUGUUGCAACACCACUGACAAGAUCAAUGAAUAGAGCAAUUUAGCUCUAUGUCGCGACACGACACCUUUAUUUCAUGACAAAACAGUCAGAUUGUCCCAAAUUCUAAAGAUUUCAAGGUGUGUUGCGACAUCAAUCCCUGAUGUCACGACAUCAGUAUCCUGCUAAGGGUGUCAGGACAUAAAACCCCUAUGUUUCAACAUCACUACAAUUUUUUAUAGGGUCGACCUAACCCUCCAUGCAACCCAUUGGUUUUAACACUUGUUUAACCCAAUUUUUAACCUAAAAACACCAACAAAUUUUAAAUCUAAAACACUUUUAACUUGUUUUUAAACUUUCUCUAACUUUAAACUCCCUCUAAAACCUUCCAAACUCUUGAAACUCAAAAACCUUGUUUUACUUGUCUUUCUCUUUUGCUACAAAUUUUCUCCUGUUUUUCUUAUGUUUCUAUUUUUUGUAAGAUAAAAGCAACACGACAACGAGGAACUUGCAAUGGAUUUUCAAAAAGAAUCACAAGUUCUCAAGUAAGGUUAAGGCUUCUAAAUAGAUUUUUACUAUUUUAUUACAUUAUUUGCUUGAUUUUUGUUAUUUUUUAGUUAGAAUAUUAUUCAAAAUGCCUGCUAGGAAAAUCUAGAAGUACUAGGGAACAAAAACCAUUAAUGGUUGCAAAUCUCUUGAAAUUUCCAAACGAGAAUGUGGAAAAAUAUUUUUUAGAACUAUAAGGAAAGACAUUCAUUCAAGAAUAGGGUUUUGAACCAUUGACGAUUCUUUACAAAGAAAUUUGGCCGUUAGUUUGGUAUCAUAGAUGGGAGAGAUUUUGCGUGACUCCCAAAGAAAAUGCAAUAAUCCUCAUAAUCCAAGAAUUUUAUGCAUUUUUUAAGGAUUAAGAGACAAGGAGACUAUAUACGGCUAUUUGGGAAACCAUAAUAGUACUAGGGAAAGAGGUGCACUCACCUCUUGUGAAAUUUGUGAGUUUUACAAUAAAAUGUUUUCCUUGAAAACACAAAUUUAACAAGUUUAAAUGACAUAAAUAUGGAUAAUAUUGUGAACUACUUAACUGAAGAGAGGGGUGAGUGGAAUCAUUGACAGCAUACCGGUCUACCGAUCAAUUUUAAUCAAGCAAUAAUGUUCCCUACUAUGAAUGUUUCUAAUGUAAAUACUUUCUAAGCCAUUUUGUUAUAUGGUAAUUUGCAGAAUAAAUAGAUAUGCAUCGGGGAAUGGAGCAUGAAACAUUGUAUCAAUGACUAGAAGGUCGGGGUUUUCUUCCCUCACCUAGUGACGACAAUACGCAAAAAGGCUAAAGUUCCAAUGGAAGCGAAUGAACAAUUCACGAGGCCAACGAAAAGCUUAAUAGGUGACUCUCGUAUACAUAGUAUGUCAAGCUCAAGUGGAAAAAAAUAAAGGAUUGGAACCAGCGAAGAAAGCAAAAGAUGGAUGUCCUGGCAUCUCUGAAAAGAAAAAAGGUAUCAAAAGCUCGAAAAGGAAGUGAAAUCUCGAACAACGAAUGGCUGAUUAGAUGGAUGCAAGAAACAGUCCCAGUUAUUCAAGAAUUUGCAUGGAAAAAUGGUAUGAGAAUACCAAAAUUACUGCCACCCAAAUAUGGCCCUAUUCGAUCCCAUAACAGAUCCAAAGAGUAAUUUUAUAUUUUUUUUUGUUUUUGGUUUUGAAUUUUCUAUGUAGGAACCUUUCAUGAAGGAAAAACUACAUUUACGAGCUUUCAACGAUUAAGGAAGUAGUACCCACCAUAAGAAUACGUCAAUGUCACAAUCAAUUGGGUAACUUCAUUCCUAAUCUAUUUAAGGGUUGCACAUUAGGGACAAUAUGCUAUCUAAAGUGUGGGGGUAACAUAGGAAAUUUUAGUUUCAGUUUUACACUUUUUCAUUUAUUUUUCUUGUCAAAAGUGUGCUUGAGUUUGUAAAAAUACAAGUGAUUGGUUAAGAGCAUGCAUAUAGGGUGAUUGUAUUUAUGAUAAAUUUGGCAUGAUAGUGACUUAUUUUAAAUUUUUAGUUAUUAGACUACUAAGUUUUAUAAAUUACACUGUAAAUAGGCAUUAAGUAAUUGAAUAUACCAAAUGACAGAGAGAAUAUAGGGAAAUGAGCAUGCUAGUAUGUAUGAUAAAUGGCUAAAUUGUGAUUACUUGAUUGAUUAAAUUUAUGAAUAUUGAGAUACCUAGGGAUGACCUAAGACAAUGUUUGGUAUACACCUAGAGCUAAAAAGCCAACCUUAUUCAUGAAUCCUUAAAACCCAUAUUUGAGCUAGAAAACUCUUCUUGAUAAACCUUCAUGCAAAACCAAAGCCAAAAUAUGAACUUGUACUUGCCUUUUUUCUUUGGUCCAUGAAAUGCACGAAUUUAGACAUCCUGUCAUAUGUAUUGAGGGAUAAGUAGAGACAUCAUGGUGGUUUUGUAAAUAUAAGAGUGAAAUAGAAAGGAGAAAUGUGAUAUAGUUAUUAUAAGGUUCAGCCAAAAUGUGUAAAACAAAAGAAAAUUUCAGAAAAAAAUCAAAAUGAGUAGAAAAAGUACUUGAACAAUUGAAAACAAAAUCAUUGUGAGUGGGAAUCAUUGGAAAAGUCAAAAGUGACUCCAAAAGUAAAUGUAAGGCCCCAAAAAUAGGUCCAGUAGUUUCGAGUAAGUUUACCGAGUUUCGAGUGAAAAUUGAGAAUUCAUCGGGUUAAUUAGCGAUUUAUAUUCUUAAUUAGUUAGCUUAACUUUAUCUAAAAAUCGUUAAAUAAUAUUUCGAAAAAUAAAAAUAUUUUUAGAAAAAUUAAUUUCAAAAAAUAAAAAUAUUUUUAGAAAAAUUAAUUUUAUGGUUUUAAAUAAUUUUUGGGUAAAAAUAAAUAUUUUGGGUUAAAUUGGAAUAUAAAAAUAAUUUAAAAUAGGGGUUUAAUUGGGUGAUUUAAAAUAUUAAUUAAAUGAGACUAAUUUGAAAAAAAAAAAGGGGAAAUGUGUAAGAGGUUUUAUAGAAAAUAAAUCAUAUUUUCAGAAUUUUAGAGGGAAAUGAGCAAAUUGUAAAACAAGGGAAAAGGGGGAGUGGCCUAAUGGCAAAUUUCCCAAAUUUUGAAAAUCAGGUGGGGGUUUUAAGUUUUAAAAACUCUGCAACUACCUCACUUUUCACUCAUUUUUCACCUGAAUUGAGAGCGCUCUCUCUCUCUCUCUNNNNNNNNNNNNNNNNNNNNNNNNNNNNNNNNNNNNNNNNNNNNNNNNNNNNNNNNNNNNNNNNNNNNNNNNNNNNNNNNNNNNNNNNNNNNNNNNNNNNCUCGUACUCUCUCUCUCUCUCUCUCUCUCUCUCUCUCUCUCUCUCUCUCUCUCUCUCUCUCUCUCUCUCUCUCUCUCUCUCUCUUUGCUUAUUUUCAUAAACCAAAUAUCAUAGAAUAGAUUUAAACAUUUUCUCUCCCAAAAUUCUCCCUAAAAUCUCUCAAAAUAAUUUUAAAAGUUGGGCGAAAAAUCAUCCGAAUUUCUUCAAGCAUUUUGAUUCAAACUUCCAAAUCAAUGAUUUGAGUUCAAUUGAAGGUAAUUCACAUCUUUAAACUUUUUUUAAGUUGAUUUCAAUCGUUAUUUAUUAAUUAAAGUGAUUAUAAUGGAUUUUUAACUUUAAUUUCUUCUUCCUUGAACUUGAGGAUCAACAAUGGUGGAUCUUUAAUUUUGAGUUGGAAUCCAAAUAUUAAUAGAUGUGAAAGCUCAAAAUAGGUCUAAUAAGAGGUUUUUAAUCUUAAACCAAAAGAUCAAACAUGUUUUAUGGAUCAAUUUUGAUAAACUCGAAUUUGAUGAAGAACAUAGAUGAUUUUUUCGAAAAAUUAUGAAACAGAUUAAAUGAUGAAAUUAAUACUUAAAAUACAUGUUAUUGGACUAGGAAUGAAGAUUAGAAGUGGUUUGAGGUGCUGAAAAGGGAGUUUAGUUGAGGAAUUCCACAUUUCGACUUAGUUUUCAACAUCGGUAAGGGAGUUUAGAGCAAUGAUCUAGAUUCAUAUUCUUUAUCAAAUUUCGUUUUUCUUGUUAUUAUUCUUAGUUUGUAAUGCAUACUUUAUCUCUAUUAAAACUUCACAUCAAGAGGAGGAACAUGCAAAUCAGAAUUGAAGCCCAAACUUGCUUGUUUGAAGCCCAAACUUGCUUGUUUGAACACUUUGUUUUUUACUUAAAGAGUUAAGUGUGGAGGUGAGUGAUAUUGAGAGAAAUUUGGUAAAUUGGCCUAAUUAUGUGUUAAAUUAAAGGUUUAAUUGGUUUUAUUAACGACUUAACUAUAUAUUGGAUGGUUGGAUUUGCAAAAAUAGGUUUUAUUUUAUAAAAGAGCGAAAUGGCAAUUGGUUUGGUAAGUUGUGUAUUAUGCUUUUAGCAUGAUUAAAUUUUAUAGAAUAAAUUGAUAUUUGGAGCAUGAAUUGUUGAUUUAUUGAACAUUUGAUAAAUGUGUUCAAUUGGUAUAUGAAUAUUGGGAAAAUGAUAUUUGCCAUGAUUAAUUUUAUUGAUGUUAAAAUUGCUUAGCGACAUGCUUUUACUUGCAUUUUAACAUCCUAAAUUAAGUGAUUAAACAAUAGAUUUGAUGCCUUGUAUGUAUGAUUAUAUUGGCAACAUUGCAUGGUGAUCCAUUGGAUACAGUUGGCAUGCCAUAUUUGUGAGUACUCACCAUUAUUUGUGAUAUUGUGAGCCUAUGGCUCUUGGUGGAUUGAUUUGUUUGGAGUAGAUAAGGGAGUGUUGAGCUUGAGUCUUCACUCACCAGGUUAUUUGAAGCGCUAUAAAGGAGCAUGUGGCUUUGGCCCACUCAAUUCGGAGGACUGUAUUUGAUUUGUGGGAGUUCGGAGAUGCGUUUAUCCAAUAUAUGAUCACACGUUUACUUAUUGUCAUGGAUGUAUUAUGUCAAUAUAAUUGAUUGAUUGUGCCAAUAUAAUUGAAUGUUAUGUGUUAAAAGAUGCUUUUAUAUGCCAUGAAAAAAAAUUAUUCUUAAUUAUUCUUAAUAGUAUGUGAUGUUAUGGCGAAAUAUUAACAUGUUGUGACUGAAAAUUUAAUGCUUAAUUGCUUUGAUUUAUGACUGAAAAUUUAAUGCUUAAUUGCUUUGAUUUAUGCCUGAUUGGGUACAAAUUACUUGAUGUUUUUACUAUCAUUCAUUGAGCUUUUUAAGCUCACACCCUCACAUUACGUGCAGACAAUUUUCGGGCGGAAGGAGUCGAGAAGCGAGUGCAAGGGCAAUCCAAGAAUAAGGCUCGGUAGUGGCUUAAAAAUUUUACUUUAGAGACUAUAUAGGGCAUUGUGAUGCUUUUGGGACUAGUGUUAUUUUACUUGUAAUGGACAUUGGACAUUAAAUUUUGGACUUUAAUUUUGGUGAUUUUAUAGUUGCUUUGUCUAAUUGAUGUUUGAUUUAUGGUAUGUUGAUGAGUGUUCGUACGGUGGUUGAUAACACGAUGAAUGAAGCAUGUAUUUUGUACUAACAAUGUUUAAUUGAAGCUUACCAUAGAGUGGAUUGCUUGCGACUAAGGUAUGUAGCUUGUGUGAAUUAAUUGGUGUUUGCUAAGCGUGUAAUUGGGUGUUAAAUUUUGAUUAAUUGUUGCAUAUGUGUUGUAAAUAAAUUAAAUUGGAGACGUGUGGAUGUUUAUGGUGAUUAAUUGUAACUAUUUCAAGUUUAAUGUGUAAGUAAAAUAUGUAAAAUCGGGUAAUUAAAAUGGAUUUUAAACAAAAUAGGUGCAGUGGUUUGCACACGGGCGUGUGUCUUUUCACACGGGAAUGUGGGUUUUGGGGGGUUUAAUUUUUCGUUUUUGUAAUCUAGUAUUCUAAUUUGCUUAAUUUAUAAUUUAGUCCUAAAACUUGAUUAGAUUAAUUAAAGCCUUUGAUGAUAGGGAAACUUGGUAAUAUUUUAGACUUGUAACUAUUAAUAUUUGGUAGAAACAAUCUUAAUUUUUAAUUUGAAAAUGUACUAAAAGUUUGUGAAAGUUACGAUUUAGUCCCUAAUAAUAAAACCUAAAUUAGAUAUAGUAAAUGAACUUGAAUUAAGUUGAAAUUUUUAGGGCUUGCAUAAUUUGAAUAAAAGAAGGUAGAUAACUAUUUAGAAAUAAAAUCAAGAUAGUUUAACCUUAGGCGGUAAAAUAACCAAAAUACCCUUAUGUUUAAAUAUUUAGAAAAAGUUUUAAAAUGGUUCACAAAUUGCUUCCGUAUUAAUAAAUGAUAGUUAAUUAGUCAUAAAUGAGGUAUUAUAAGGUUGGGGUGCACGUCGGGUGGUCGUCAGCUAGAGAGUCAAUUCGGUGGCUAAUGUAAUGCUUCGAAUUCGGGUCGGUCCAUCCCAGUCGGGUUUGGGGUGUCACAAUAAAAGUCACAAAAUUAGAAACCUCAACAAUUAGUGCACAAAAAAUUGUGAGCUAACCAUAGUUGCUUUAUUAUACCGUGACUUGCUAUAUGGAGAAAUAAGGAAAGUAAAAGAAUGAGAAAUAAGGUGGUGAGCAGGCAAGGGAUAUUAAGGGGAAGAAUAGGGAACAAUGGAUGUGCCAAACUACUUUUGUGCUUGAAAUUGUUUUGAUGCCCUUUUUAUUAAAUUCCAUACCAACCUUAAGCUUUAGAACGUUACAAGUCGAAAAGUCCUAUGUGACGUUGAUAAAUCUAUUCAUGAAUGGACAUUAUAUCAAGUAAUUGCAAUAAUGGUUGUUUGUAUUCUGUUAGUAUAAUCAAAUUACAUGUAUGAUUUAGCAAUGGAUCCAUAUAUUUAAGGACCUUAUUGUUUAUAUAUUUUGUAAUAUACUGAAUUUAGGGGUUUGAAGUUGAGAAUGUUAAGUCAUUGAUGUUGGAUUGUCGGUACGCCCUGUGACACAACGAAAAAUUUAUUCCGAUGAUCACCAUCAAAGGAUCAAAGUACGAGGAAUGAAUCGGGUUGAAACAUAAUUGGAAAUAUACCUUUAGCAAUCUAAUUUCCUUUGUGGUGUCGAUUCCAAGCCGUAACAGAAUCAUUUUGGCAUCUACGUAAUCCACUCAGUCAAGCAUGAACAAUAAAACUCUUUGAACUUUUCAGAGAGAAUUCAGACUGGCUGCUAGACCUCUUGAAUUUUUCCUUACUUCUCAAUCGCAUCAUCAGGGAUCUUUUUCCUUUUAUUAAUUACCUAUAAUAAAAACGGAAUAAUUCCCUUUUACUUCUAGAGAAAAUCAUGGAAGGUAUUAAAGUUUUCUUCUGUCCAAAAGAAUAUUAACUUUCAUAAAUAUUAACUCUGGAAAAUAGUUGCGAAUCGUAUUCACUAGGCGAUAUGUUAGUCAGGCGAUAUAGUCCGCCAGACGAUACUGUCCACCAGGCGAUAUUGUCUGCCAAAGAUGUAUAUAGGAAGGUAUAUGGCCAACAUUUUGUAUGAAGUCUAUUCGCUUUAACCAUAGGGUGUGACCUUGUAGGUUAUUGUAACAGUAGUAGUAAUACUAAAACAUUUCUAAUGUUACAAGCAAUGAGUGGCAUCUAGUAAUGCAUCAUUGCUACCUAAGUUACAAGAAGUUGUGAUUCGACAUAAAAUUUCUAUGAUAAACUUUUAUCCUUUAUAUCUAGAUUGGACGCAAGUCAUGGUAUAGUCACACUUGUAUAGUCCAAUCUCAUAGUUCUUGAUAUUUUGAGUAGACUAAAAUAAACAAAUAAGUGCGAUAUCUCAUAUCAACUUAUUUGAGUAUGGCCAUGCAUUUCUAGUCUCACUUCAUCAAAUGGCCCAAGAUAUUACUCCCAUUAUGUAUGAGGGAUAAAUCAGAUUUUGAUCAAUCAUAUCCCACUACAUGGUUUGUGGUAUAUCCAAUAUCAGUCUUUAUAGUACAACUUUGACUACAUCAAAAUAUACAACUCAUGAUGUUAGGACAAUGGUGAUUUCAAGUCUGAGGAUCAUAUACAUAGUUAUCACUAUGAGUAAUGUUGUGAUUAUUACAUAAUAAUCUAAGAAACAUACUCACAGUGGGUCAAUCCAAUAUGUUGUUCUCUAACACAUACUCAUGUAUUGAUUUUGACAUCCCUAUGUCAAUGACGACACUUUGUCAUCAAUCAACUACACAUUAGUCUCAAUGUAUUAUCGCUGUCCAAACCCACAAUAAUACUUGACUAAGGAAUUUUUAAGAAUAAUCAUAUUAUUCUCAGGACUUUAUUAUUUAUAAGUUUAUUUAUACACACAAAAAUUGAAAUAACAAUGGCAAUGUCUUAUAUUAACAACGUCAAUGUCUUAUAUUAACAACAAGGUAAAGACGAGUAUGUAAUUACAAUAAUAUCAUGCCAUAAUUACAUGUAUAUAUGAUUAUUCCUAGUUAUGUGUUCCAAAACUGGUAUUUGUAUCAUAUUUGCUCAAGAGUUGUGUUUUAUUUUUCAAUUUUUAUGUUUUCUUGCUUGAGGACAUGCAAUGACUUAAGUGUGGAGGAGUUUGAUCUACCGCAAUUUGUUGUAGUAGAUUAAACCAUUUUUCAUACUUAGCUUGAAUAAAAGAAAUUUCAUCAUGUUUUACUUAAUUUUUCACUUUUAGUUAUCAAAUAAUAAAAAGUGUAAUUUGAUUUGUUUAUAUGACUUUAGGGGCAAAAAUAGGCCUAAAGGAAGACUAACGUGUUUCGUGAAUGUGCAGGACACCAUUCGAAAGCAUGAAAACACGAGCUGGUCACCAUGUUGCAACACGGAGGUUCAACGAUGCAACAUAGUGAGCAAGACACCUAAAAUAGAAAGAUUGCCUUUGGCGUCCCGACAUAGCUAGAGGAUGUCGCGACACAGCCUUGAAUCUGAGCCUGAGCAAAGUAAACUACCACCAAUGUUGCGACACCGGCUUGACGUGAAGAAUUAAUAAGCUAAGAGUGUUUUGGUCCGCACAAUGAACUUUAACAUAAAAACGCCGGCCAGACUAAAGCUAUGGACGACAACCAACCCUAAAUCUAUAAAUAGGCUUUACUGAACACUUCUUAGACAACUUUUCUGUGUCUUUAAACUUUUAUUCUAGUUUAGGUUGUAAGUUUUAUUUAGUUUUCAGUUUAUUUUAACUUUUGUCUGGCAGAGAAUCUGAUUGGUAGAUUCAUUAUUCUUGUGGAUUUUUAUUUUUUCAAAUCAUCAAUACAAUUUAGGAUUUCUCUUAAACUUUUACUCUUGAUUUAUUCUUCAUGUUUAUCUUUUUUAUCAAGUUUAUGUUGUUUAUGAGAUUCAUGAGGAACUAAUCCUCUUGUGGGGAAUUAACGAGUGGACGCGAGAGUACUUAAUUUUUGUGUAAGGUUUCUUAGCAAAUCAACUUUUUAGGAUAGGAAGAACUUAAACCCUAGGCCUGACAACCUUAGGAAGUCAUCUAGGUGGCAAUGAACCAAAAAUUUGUAUUGCCUAUCUGUGAACCCCUUACCCCAAUCAGGUCUCGACUGUGAGGUCGAGAGAUAAGUAGUUCUUAUGGACUCGUUAGUUUAGUGGAAGAUCAAGUGAUCCUACUAGGUUAGUGACUAGUUGGUUGAGUAGAGCUCAACAUAGGAUUUAGUUAUGAGCACUAAAGUGAGUUAGUCUUCCAUGCUUAGAUUUGAGUGAUUCAACAAAUUAGUUUUCCAUUUUUUAUUAUUUUAUGUUAUUUAUUUAUUUUUCUUAUAAAAUAAUUUCUCUUCACUUUAUGUUUUAGUGUAAUGUAAUUUAAUUAAAAUACUAAUUAGAUCUAUUACGUUAGAGAUAUUAUUAAUUUAGUAUUCGCCUCCCUUGGGUACGAUCCUCGAAGUACUCUCCUACUUCAUUGUAAAAAACUAUAUUACAACCUGACCUAUAUACUUGCAAAAAUUGUCUAACUCUUAUUUGGUUGCAAGAAUUAUACUCUAAACGUUAAUACAUCUGGAGGUGGUCAAAUACACAACCACAUCGUGCAUUCAGAGAGCAUACCAACAAUCAUCUAUAUAUAUCCAUGGUAUUAUGCAUGCAUAGUUUACCCUUUAUCGUAAUCAUAUACAACCAUGGAUUUUAGACUGGACUCAAAACAAACACUCGAGCAAAACAUUUAGCAGCAUGAUAACAAAAAAUAACCAAAAUAGAUUCCAGAAACUCACCUUAAGUCCUUUGUCCUCGCCAGCUUAGCUUGUCCAAACACCAGAGUCUCUUUCGUCCUAGAAGCUAAGUAUGACAACCAUAUAUAUUGGUUAAACCGAAAGUAUUCAAAUCUUAAAACUUAGAAUUCAGUAUCAUUCAAAAGCUUCCUAGAGAUUUCAGAAAUCCUUAUUUCCCUUUCUCAAUCCAUGAAUACAAAAAGAUAGAAAGACUUACUAGUUCCUUAAAUUCUCUACUCCCUAACCUCAAUCCUCACGAUCACUGCCCCAUGCAAUAUUUCAUCAAUUUUCUCUCAUUCGGAGCAACCAGAAAAGACGAUGGAGAAGGAAGGAAAGUAAAACAGAAAUGAGGAGAAUUCUGCCUUCAAAAUAAUCCUCCACUCUCAUAUAUAUAACGAUUCUUAUGCACGGCUCAAGGCCCCAAGUAACCAUCCAUCGGCUAUCAUUUUGUCUCCCACUAAGGAAUCAGCUGGUUCCAACGUAACCAAACUAGAAUUGGUUCCCAACUAAUUACCAUUCAACCACCAAAAUUUUCCAAGUUUUCCAGUAAAGCCCUCCAACUUACUAUUUUAUUCAAUUAACUCUUAGCUCUCCAUUAAUUUCUGGGACUUAAAGAAAACCGGGUGUGACAAAUAUCGUAGCAAGACUAAAAACAACCUUAUUGUUUUAUGACCCUCUAGAUGGUCCAAUUAGUUAUGAUUUUUCUAUUUUUUAUAAUUAAUCCCUGAUGAGAUUCUCUCUUAUUUUGGAAGAGGCCUUCAGCCCUCCCAUUAGGAAAACAAUUAUGUAAUCUUUCUUUUUUAUCCAAGUUCAUUUUAUUACCAAAAAGAAAAAAAAAGUAGUAGUAUCUUUAGUUUCUUCUAGUGUCACGGGUAGCACAAAGAAGCCCGCAACCAAAGCACACUUUGAUGUUCCCUUUUGUUCAUUGGGGGUCAUUUGGCCUGACAAGAUUGACCCAUUCCUUGGAAGAGACUCAAGGCCUAUCUGCUUGGAUCCUAGCUAAAUUGUAAGCAUUGUAUUUUACCAAGGUAAUUAUUGUAAAUCCUAAAGGAUAAACAUGUAUAGAAUUUGAAUCCCUUAGGACUCUCUUAUUGUAGAUAAGAACUAAUCUCAACCAUUAAUGUAAUUCGAUCUGUACAGUUGGAUUUGAGGGAGCUAAACUAUAAAUAGAGUCAUCUCCCUUCAUUUGUAAUAAUUCCAUUCUUGAGUUAAAGAAUAUAUUGAGAGCAUUUACUCAAACACUUGGUGUGCGAUAUUUCUUUUUGGCUUUUUUGUUCAUUCUUUGCUCUUUCGUUUUUAGUUUGCUUCCAUUUUGCUUUGGUGUAUUAGAGAAUUUCUGCAAAAAUUUUCAUUUUUCCAGAGUAGGCUGACUUGGACAGGAAUUCAACCCAAGAAAUUGCCUAAAGCCGCGCGGUUUGCCAAACUAAAUUUCUAGCCCCAUGACAUUAAUAAUACCAUAUAUUCCUUGAUGGUCAACAUUUCUCUCCAUCUCCUAUAUAUAAAUGGUUAAAAUGUGCUACAAGUCGCUGUACGUUUCAAAAAUUAGGAAUUUAGUCCAUAUACUUCUAUAUCAUUGAUUUUAGUUCCUCUACUUUUUAGAUUUCAAAAUUCAUUUAAGUCCAAUUGUUAACAUUUUUUUUUUGGUGACAUUUUUGAAAUAAAAAUACUCAAUUGAUACCCAUGUAAUAAAAAAAAAGACUUUGUAAUUAAAUUGAAUUUAACAAAAUAAUAAUAAUGUUAACAAUUAAACCUAAAUUUUAAAAUAGGGAUAAAUUUUAAAAUUAUACAUGAACUUUGAUUUAAUGUGUAAUUGUAUAAAGAAACUUUAAUUUGGUGCAAUUAUACAUGUGAAACUCUAAUUGUGGUUCAAAUAUAUACUUGAAACUUUAAUUUUGAUUAAUCGUACAUAUUUAAAAAAAUAAUACAUCAAUUUAUUUUUAUUUGGGAAAAAUAUAUUUAUUUAUGUAUGCAAUAUAUAAAUAUAAAAUGAUGUUAUAUCAAUAAUUGUGUUAAUUAUUUACAAAAAUUGGAUCAAAUCAAAAUUUUAUAUAUAAAAUUAUACAAAAUCAAAAUUUAUAUAUAUAAUUAUAUAUUAAACCAUAAUUCAUAUAUAAUUUUAAAAUUUAUCCCUUUAAAAUAUGAAAAGUAUAAAAAUAAAUUCCUUCAAUUAAGAGUACAAGGUUCAUAUUCUCAAUUUUCAAAAAGUAUAGGUACUUGUGCCACAUUUUAACCUAUAUAAAUAGGAUCGGCGGAUUUAGACCAACGGAGUGAAAGAUCGAAAUUGGCAGAAGAUGAAGGUUUCCGUCAAAACUCUCAAAGGCACUCACUUCGAUAUCGAAGUCAAACCCGAAGAUGCGGUUCGCUUCUCUCUCCCUCUUUUUCCAGGGCUUUUACGUUUCUUGACUAGGGUUUUCCGUUUUCCCCUGCAUUUGAACAUUAAUUCGCGUUCAUCUAGGACUGUAUUAGUUGGACUUAUUAUGCACGUAGUUGAAUUACCAUGCUUGACAUGUGAAAUCGGAGAUCGUGAAUGAUUUGUUCAAUUUUAGUGUCUAAUUCAUUGAAUAUGUUUAUUUAGCUUGUGAAUAGUCUAGCUACUUCGAUUAAGUUUUAGUGGACUGAUACUCGUGUAGCUUGAACGGCGGUAUCCUUUUCUUCUGGCGACAAUUAGCAAUUAAGUACUUCCUACGUAAUGCUUUUUACCAGUUCAUUGAAAUUAGUGAAUAAUACUUUGAUUUCUGGGCUUCAUUUUUGUCUUAGUAUUUCAUUAACUUGUAUCAUUGAAUAUUGAUGCAUAGAUUGCCAUGUAAUUUCUAGUUGUAGUUUGCUAGAUUUAGGUUUGAAUUUGAGUAUACACAAGCUUUGAUCAUUGCCAUAAGCAUCUCAUAUUUUGCAAUGCUCUUUCACUUCUUUUUAAUUAGUGUGGUUAUGAACACUGGAUUAAAUGUACAGAGGCUUCUUUUAAUAGAUCUUCUAUAACCAAGGAUCAAGUUCUGCAUUCUAUGGUUACAUCUAAUCAAGGGUUGUGUUUUUUAAUGAUGUGGAUUUUCUAACUAUAUAAAUAAGCUAUUAUUAUUUUUAUUGUUUUUUGCUACUUUUUAUGCUUUUAAGGUUUAUAUAUACAUAUAUACAUACAUAUAUAUAUGCAUGUAUACAUACAUAUAUAUAUGCAUGUAUACAUACAUAUAUAAGCACAGACAUGAAAGUCUUGGGAUAAAAUGCAUUCUGCCUUCUGCCUUUUUCAUUUCUUUGUCACUUGUUAUUAUACAAUUCCGCUGCUAAUGCUUGUCAAUUCUUUCAGGUUGCGGAUGUAAAAAAGAACAUAGAAACUGUUCAAGGGACUGAUGUUUAUCCUGCUUCACAACAAAUGCUUAUCUAUAAGGGAAAAGUUCUUAAAGAUGACACGACACUGGCUGAAAACAGUGUCACUGAAAAUAGCUUUAUUGUGAUCAUGUUGACAAAGGUGAGAUUGUUUACAAUAUUCUGAUUUUUAUGUUUGUAAUAUUUCAUCUAACUUGUUCGAACUUUUCUGACCAAAGUAUGCUGACUUUGUCCUAAUAAAUGCCCAACUGACAUCAUUAUUUUUCACACUGCUGUUGAACUUGAAAGUUAUCUUAGUUAUAACUGAUGACGGAGUGUUGUAUCCUUAUAAUUUUCUUUUGAAAUCUGGUUGUUUCUUUCCUGUAGGUGCAUCUUAUAAAUCAAUUUGUUGCUAAACUAGAAAAUUUUCUUUGUGCUACUUUUUGACCUUUUACCUACUUGUAUUUGUAUCUGAAUUUAUUUUUCAUGACUGUCAUUUUCAUACUAAUAUUGUCCUUUUUGCUUAAAUAAACUAGAAUAAGGGUACAACUGGUGAGGGUUCAGCUGCUUCAACAGCUCCUACAAAGAAAGUAAGAUUGUUGUUACCUCUCUUACUACUACUUGCAUGCAUAAUUGGUUGUAAGCAAUGAUUGUCACUGUACCUUUUGAGCCACAUUUCUUGAGACAUUUUGCAAUAAAUAUGACAUGAAAAGUGUUGGGAUUCUGUUUUUUCCAUGAUGGUAGAUGUUCUUUAUUUCAAUGCUAUGAACUAGAACUUGAAGUGAUAGUCAAGCAUCUUGAACAAAUAUAAUUUGUAAACGAGUAGAUCAUCAAAAAAGUUAUAUACAGCAAAUAGAAUGCUUUUAAGAUUUUGGGUUUUUAGAUAUGGCCCAGGUUUGAGUUGUUUUGUGUCCAACUGCUUUCUAUGUUACACUAUUGAGCCAUAAACAUAUUGCAUAAUUUGGAGUUUGAGUUGGUGUUAUUACCAAAUUCAACCGCCUUAAAUGUUUAUGAGUUAGUUACACGAUCUCUUAUCCAUGUUUCUCAAUUUCACAAUUGUUUUCCCUUUCUCCUUUCCAGUAGCAUAUCAAUAUGAAAGAAUAUUGACUCCUUCUUAGAACUAUUUAGCUUGAGCUAUUAACUCUCACAAUCAUUAUGCAAAUUCUGAUUUGAUCUUCAAAUUUCUUUUUGAGUAUGAAUAUAAAUUUCUGUUUUCCCCCCACUAUACAAUCUUUAGGGUAUGUUGCUUCUGAAAACUUAGCCUGUAUCCAAAGAUUAUUGUGGAGUGAGUAGUGAUUUUGGAUUCUUUGUAGGAUCCUGAGGCAAGUAAUCUGCCAACAGCUCCAGCACCAGCUUCUACUGCACCUGUUGCAACAUCAGCUAUGUAAGUCCUGCUAUUCUACACUUUUGGUCAGAUACAGCACCUUUGCAAUUGAUUAAUUGCUUAUUAUUUUUUUUCAGGGCUGCAGCUGCCGCUGAAUCUGCUCCUGUUGCUUCAAGUACUCCUCUGUGAGUAACUUAUUCUUGAUAGUAAUUUUCAUGCUUCUUAUUUGAAGGAUAGAAGCUUUUGAUUUAAUCGAAUUGCUUUUAGUAGGAGAGAUCUUGAGUUUUUCCUUGUUUUCCUUUGCAUACUUGUAAUAUCUUGAAUAAUGUCUUUGGAAACAGGUCAGAUUCUGAUGUUUAUGGCCAAGCAGCAUCUAACCUGGUUGCAGGGAGUAACUUAGAGGGAACAAUCCAACAGAUUCUUGAUAUGGGUGGAGGGACCUGGGACAGGGACACUGUUGUCCGCGCCCUUCGUGCUGCUUAUAAUAACCCAGAGAGAGCUGUUGAAUAUUUGUAUUCUGUAAGUACCUUUCUUGUAUCUUGAAGAAUAUGUGCUUUCUUGCGUGCUUCUAGUUGCUGUUGUUUUAUUGUUCUCCUUAAUGUAGAUGUGGGAAUAACCUAAUAAGCUGAGCUCAUCCUGAGAGGUUUUCUUGGAAUGAUGAUUAUGCCAUUGUCAUUUUUAAUUUGAUGUAAUUCUAUUUGAAACUUGGCCUUCUCCUUGCCAUGAUUUAUUGGUCAAUGAUGAUUGAAUUUCUGCACACCCAAAAUAUGCCUCGUAUCUUUCAUUUUGCUGGUCCUUUUUGACUUGGUGGAUAAGUUGACUUCACCCCCCCCCAACAAAAAAAAAAAACAAUAUGAACAGGAAUGUUGGAUUUCUAUUUCAAUCACAUGGUGUGUCUUAAUUUGUUUUAUGGUGGGUUUUAAUGGUAUUUUAUACUGCACCCUUAUCUUUCUUUUCUUCUUUUUUUUAAAAUAUAUAUAUAUAACAAGCAUGCAUUUUGUUUCCUAAGCUGCUUCUUGUCAUCGUGUCAUAAAUUAUUGUUGCAAAUGCUAGGGCAUCCCCGAGCAAGCUGAAGCUCCACCUGUGGCCCGUGCUCCUGUCGUUGGGCAAACCACUAACCCUGCAGCACAACCUCAACAGCCUGCGCAAACGGCAGCUGUUCCUACAAGUGGACCAAAUGCAAAUCCAUUAGACCUCUUUCCCCAGGUAAAUUGUCAUGCGGUAGACCUUUGAUAAAUUUGAUGAUGGGCAAAUGAACCAGUGACUUGAUGGCCUUUUAUUGAUACAGGGCCUUCCCAACAUGGGUGCAAGUGGUGCUGGGGCUGGCACUCUUGAUUUUUUACGGAACAGUCCACAGGUCUCUCUCUUUCUCAUUUGGUUGUAUAUGGGAAUGUUAGCAUGACUGUCAUGUAAAUACCUACCUAGAACUACACUCAAUAUGCAAUUCUCUUUUCAGUUUCAAGCUUUGCGAGCAAUGGUGCAAGCCAACCCACAAAUAUUGCAGGUUAUUCUCUGGUCCCUUGUUUCCCCUCUUCAAUCCUAGUGUGUUUUUCAUUGUCUUUUUAUCUUUUGCUUUUUACCUUUCACCUUUCCUCAAUGUCUCCCUUUUUUAUAUUUUUGGCAGCCUAUGCUUCAAGAGUUGGGGAAACAAAAUCCUAAUUUAAUGAGACUUAUUCAAGAGCAUCAGGGUGACUUUCUUCGCUUGAUCAAUGAACCUGCUGAAGGUGGAGAGGGGUGAGUCUUGUUGUUUUUAGUUGCUCAUUUCUUGAACUUAUAUAGUGUGUAUGUAUAUCAAGUGCUUAUUUGACAUCUCCUGUUGUAAAGAAACAUUUUGGGGCAAUUAGCUGAGGCGAUGCCACAAGCUGUGCAAGUCACACCUGAGGAACGUGAAGCCAUAGAACGAGUAUGUCAUCUUUUACAUAAAGGCUGACUUGGAUGUGUUCACUAUUCUCUGUAAUCAUGGAUUAUUUAGCUAUCUUCCCCACUGACUCUGGAAAUGCCUUCAUUUCCUUGGCCUUUAUCUGAGUUAUGAGAUAUGCAUCACAUCUUUCUUUUAGGCAAUGGUUUUACUUUUAGAUGAUUAAUAAACUCAAAUUUGUUGCAUUGAUCUUGUGCCUACAAAUACUUUUGUAGUCUCCUUAUUCUCUUGUGCAUUCCCCAUCUCUUGCAGCUUGAAGCAAUGGGGUUUGACCGUGCAACUGUGCUCCAAGUGUUCUUUGCGUGCAACAAGAAUGAGGAACUUGCGGCCAACUACCUUUUAGAUCAUAUGCAUGAUUUUCAGGAUUGAGCUGGUAAAAGAAAUGGCUAGGGGAAGUACAAUAUCAUUUUCUCUUUCGUUCUUUGGGUCCAUUGUCAUUCAUGUCCCCCCUCCCCUCCCCCCAAAACUCUACCGACUUUAUUCU
rnacentral:lncRNA from 1 species